AACCUCAAUCACCCCCACUGCCACCACUCCGGCAACCCCAAUACUACCAUCAUCAUCAACGUCUCUAUCGCGACGAGCACUCUCACAAACCCUAACGAGCACAGCAAACCUAGCAAACCUUCUCCCGACAGGAACCCUCCUAGCAUUCCAACUCCUCACUCCCAUCUUCACCAACAAUGGGUCCUGUGACGCCGCUACACGCCUCUUAACGCUCCUCCUCCUCCUCCUCCUCGCCGCGUCUUGCUUCCUCGCCUCCUUCACCGACAGUGUCAAGUCAUCAUCCAGCGGACAAGUCUACUACGGUUUUGCCACCUUCAAAGGGUUGUUUUUAUUUGAUUAUAUUCAAAACCCUAAUGCCUCAGAUCAUGAUCUGCCAGAUUUAAACAAGUACAGGAUCAGAUUCAUCGACGGUGUGCAUGCAGUUUUGUCUGUCCUUGUGUUUGCUGCUGUGGCUUUGAGAGACAAGAACGUUUUGUCUUGCUUUUUUCCGACGCCGAAACAUGAAACUCAAGAGGUUUUGGACAUUGUUCCUGUCGGAAUAGGGCUUAUUUGCAGCUUGUUGUUUGUGAUUUUUCCCACUAGAAGGCAUGGAAUUGGGUACCCGAUUACUCCAGGCAAAUAUUAACUGUUUAUUGUUUUCUUAAUCUCCUUUUUUUUUAAAAUUUCCUUUAUUCUUUUUUUAUUAAUUUGCUGCACAUGGAAGUUGUUCUGGAAACAGUUAGGUAUGAGGUUAUUAAUGAUUUCGUUAAGCAAGAAAACAUUUCAGUUUGUUUUCUUGUUGGUCAUGCUUUAGCUACUUCCUUGUUUGUAAUAUUAAUUUUUUUUUUAGCAUUAUUGACUUUGAUUCAUCACAGCAACCAAACAUGCGUUGUUCAAAAUUUUUGUGGCUGGCUUAUGUGGGGAAGAAAGCAUUAUUUUAUUCAAGGGUCAGCUAAAAUUCAAUUGAUAAAAGCUACUUGUAACAAUGCUAUGAGGACUUUGUAGUCGAUUGCGUGUUUUUUUUUUUCAAUUGUGAAGGAUUUUGAUGCGUAACAAAAGCACAGCAAACCUAGCAAACCUUCUCCCGACAGGAACCCUCCUAGCAUUCCAACUCCUCACUCCCAUCUUCACCAACAAUGGGUCCUGUGACGCCGCUACACGCCUCUUAACGCUCCUCCUCCUCCUCCUCCUCGCCGCGUCUUGCUUCCUCGCCUCCUUCACCGACAGUGUCAAGUCAUCAUCCAGCGGACAAGUCUACUACGGUUUUGCCACCUUCAAAGGGUUGUUUUUAUUUGAUUAUAUUCAAAACCCUAAUGCCUCAGAUCAUGAUCUGCCAGAUUUAAACAAGUACAGGAUCAGAUUCAUCGACGGUGUGCAUGCAGUUUUGUCUGUCCUUGUGUUUGCUGCUGUGGCUUUGAGAGACAAGAACGUUUUGUCUUGCUUUUUUCCGACGCCGAAACAUGAAACUCAAGAGGUUUUGGACAUUGUUCCUGUCGGAAUAGGGCUUAUUUGCAGCUUGUUGUUUGUGAUUUUUCCCACUAGAAGGCAUGGAAUUGGGUACCCGAUUACUCCAGGCAAAUAUUAACUGUUUAUUGUUUUCUUAAUCUCCUUUUUUUUUAAAAUUUCCUUUAUUCUUUUUUUAUUAAUUUGCUGCACAUGGAAGUUGUUCUGGAAACAGUUAGGUAUGAGGUUAUUAAUGAUUUCGUUAAGCAAGAAAACAUUUCAGUUUGUUUUCUUGUUGGUCAUGCUUUAGCUACUUCCUUGUUUGUAAUAUUAAUUUUUUUUUUAGCAUUAUUGACUUUGAUUCAUCACAGCAACCAAACAUGCGUUGUUCAAAAUUUUUGUGGCUGGCUUAUGUGGGGAAGAAAGCAUUAUUUUAUUCAAGGGUCAGCUAAAAUUCAAUUGAUAAAAGCUACUUGUAACAAUGCUAUGAGGACUUUGUAGUCGAUUGCGUGUUUUUUUUUUUCAAUUGUGAAGGAUUUUGAUGCGUAACAAAGAAAUUAAGUUUAUAAUUAAGUUUGUAAAGUUUUUGUGAAUGCAUAUAACUAUAUAUUAUUAUCCCAUAAAUACCAAUUGCAUCCGGUUAGAAGGGUCAGUGUUCACCUUAGCACUAAACCUAAAUCUCAAUAUAUAGCUAAUUUAAGUAGGUUUAAAAAUUCUGUCAUUGUCGGCCUAAUUGGUUGUUAUAAAAGUCUGGGGGCCAGGAAUCUACCCAAUCAAGCCUUGUAGCCCAAAGACUGAAUUCAAAUCAAGCCCAUUAUGAACGUAGGCUAUUUAGACCCCUUUAUCCCAAAGUCCAUUGGAAAGCUUGGGCGGUUUGAUGAUUUUUGACAUGGAAACAAUUCUAGGAAAAUUAAAAUACAAUUCAAUUUGAUGAUUGAAAUGUAAAUGAAAGGAUUGAUUUGUAAUGCAUCAUAUCAGUGCGUGCCGGAUUUUGUAAGGAAGAUUGGAAGAAUAUUAAUUAUAAGAUUAUUAAUGUAUCACCAUUUGGAGAUAAUAUCAGCAAUUAAUUUAUAGGAUUUUAAUGUACCUUCUCUAGUUAAUGAAAUUGAAGAAUGGAGAUUAAAUCAGCAACAUACACUAUUUUAUGAAACCAGAAAGGUAAAAGUCAGUCAAGUGCUGAAACGACCCACCCAAAAUAGAAUUGAUAAUAAUCUAACUAGUAAUGAUUCUUCCGAAAAUUCAGUAAACUCUCCUUUAUAAAUAUAACACUUCUAGCCCGCAAAUAUGUAAAACAGGCACUCGUAAAAUAAUUUAAUAUACAACCAAUUCUAAUGAUUAGCAUCCUCAACCAAAAUACUGAAUUUUACACAAAAUAUCUCUAGAGUAUCAAAAGAUUAUAUUAUAACUAAUAUUAACAUAUAUUGGUUUAUUCUUAAUCUCAAAAGAAUGAUGCAACAAAAUUAUACAAUCUUAAAAAAAAAAUGAGAUGAUUAGGAUACCCUAACAAAAAUCAUCUAUAGCUUCUAACACUAUUACGUGGCCAAAAUUCAAAAUAUUUAUAGUCGCUGGGUCGAUUUGGUGUACUUGAAACGUCCUGUUAGGGGGCAAAAAUAUAAUAAAACGAGAUGAGUAUAAAACUCAAUGAGCUCAGUGAGUGGAUAGUAGUUCUUGAAAAUAAACUUACUUCAAAAUAAUUAUAUCAUUUCAGUAAAUAACUUUACCAAAAUACCAUAAGAAAACUUAAAUAAACUCAUUUAAUUAUAAAUCAUGUACUGACAUAAACAUAAGAUGAAAUACCACAUAAAAUCAAAGAAGUUAUAAACAUUUGUAAUCUCAAAUAUUGAAAUCUGAAAGCUGUCACUAAACAAGUACCCAAGAGAAUAAUCUUGUCAUACCUGGAUCUUAACGGACGGGCUAUGACGUAAUAUCAGGGAAUCGUUAUGCCCCGGAGUUGCAACGGGUAGACAGGAAAAUGCUAUCUCUUAUCUCAUCAUAUUUGUGCAUGCAUAAGUUAGUCUCCAAAGGACAAAGGCACCCAAGUACACGGCCUAAAAGCCUCUCUGUGUACUUAGAUGGGCCCCAAAGGCCUGUAUCUUAUCUGUAUCAAUUGUAUUUCAAUGUUUAUAUCUUUGUAAUCAUCAUACUGCAUACAUAAAACCCCGAAAGGCAAAAGCACCCAAACACACAGCCUAAAGCCUCUAUAUUUGUUCAGACAAACUCCAAAGGCCUCUCAUCAUAUCUGUCACUGUAAUUGAAGGGGAAAGAUACUGUCCAAUGAUUUUAAAAAUAAUUUUUUAUACUCAUAUUCAUAUACCUUUUAAUCAUACUUUAAAUCAUACUCUUCUUUUUAUUAACACAUUCGAAUCCACUUUUCUUGUCUUUAAAAUAUUAUCAUGUUUUAUUCAAAAUCAAUACGGGAAACGAUUAACCAUAUACUUUUUAACAACAUAGCAAUACGUGAAAUAAAAUUCAUGUCAAGAAAAUCAUUAAGUCAGAGUAUUUAAAAUACUUAUUUCAAAAACAUGCUUUACUAUCAUAAUAAACUAUGAAAAUAAGUUUUAUAUAUUCCACUUAUAGUGACGAUGCUUAAACUUGAUUAUCGUUCACGCCCGCGGAUUGGUUCUCACUCGCAGAUCCUACUAAAUCAAGGAAACAACAUAAUUAUUUUCCAUAAAUCGAAAUUAGGACUAAAUUUACGUAAUAAAGUUUGAAACAAACAUCUAUACAUAAUUUACAACUCCCGUGUUGAUAAAAUUACUAAAAUACCGUCGAAUCCGUAAAUCAUUAAAAUACUUUAAAAUCGUAAAUCACUGAAUUACCCUCGGAAUCGUAAUUACCAACCCAUCCUCAAUUUCAGAAAUUAUUAGAAUAUCUACAGGGUUGAAAUUACAAAAUUGACCUCAAAAUGUGAAAUUACCGAAUUGCCCUCACCGGUCAAUGGUGACAAGAAUUUAAUUGACGGUGACCGAGAAGCUUGGGCUGGACACUUUUGGCUGAGCUAAGCUUAAUGGUAGCGGCAGUGAGCUCCCAUGCGCGGUGACGACACUAGAAUCUAGCUCGACAGCGUGAUCACCCCAACAAUUGGCCGGCGGCGAAUCAGUGGCUUCUAGUGGCUGGGGAUGGUCGGAAAUGAAAUUUGGUGAUGUGUGGAGUAAAACACAACCAGUGGCAUGGCCAGAAACCAGCCAAAUCGCUGCGAACAGAGGCGGCGAUUCCGCGGUUCUUCACAGCUUCGAUUGGUGGGCUUUUGGCUAUUUUCCAGUGGAAAUGACGACAAAAAAAUAACCAGUGGCUCAAGGGCUUUCGAUCGAUACCUCUUUUGGUUAGUGGGGUCGUCGGAAACAGAAACGGUGGCAGGGUCGGUUUUGUGGGUUGGAGUCGGUUUGACAACUUUCCCUUUUUCAAAGUUUUAGAGAAAGCCUGCCUAUAUUAAUCAGACCACAACCAAUUUAGAAUUUAAAUUAUUCCCGCAGUUUCCUAAUUACUAGGUCGCGGUUAUAAUAUCUAGUGCAGAAAGCAGAAUUGGCAUAUUAAAGAGCAAUGUGUAGUCCUUGAGGCAAAUUUUAUGAAGUAAAGCAUACAAGUCGAAAGAUAGCCAAACCAUAAAUACAUGUCCAAAGCUUAACUGGAGUUUAGGUCUUAAAACACAAAAUACGUAACAGCAAAUCCUUAAAUUCUGGCUGCAGUUGCGACGUUUCCUCCUAUUAUUUUAUCUACAUAAAUGUAAAGGAAAGUAAAUAUCAGAAAUGAAAAUCUGGUUUUAGUUAUAUUUUUUCUUUUUAAUUGCUACCGAUAAAAAAUUACUAUGAUUGCGAUUACGGCUAGGUCUUAUUUGAGUACAGAGAGAUCUUUCUCUGCUGAAAUGUAUGACAAUCAAAUUAGACUGGAACUUGUACACCAUCUUAAUUAAUUGUAAACCUUUAAUUUGUGUCUAUUGAGAAAGUGGGAAAAUGCAUACUAAAUUAGGCAAGUAAAGGUUAAGAUAUUAGAGGAAAGAGUAAAAAAUCACUCAUUCAGUCCAUCAGAUUCCAUAAGGAUAUAUUUGGAUGUCAUACCGCCGCUCCAUUUUCUCAAAAGCCUGUAGCCUUUUUCUCAAUUCCGGCUGAGGCCAAUGCAUCUCCAAUUUGCGUAAGGUCUCUAUGACAUAUAGCUCUUCAGGAAGCUUUUUCAAGUAGGCACAAGGGUUGACAAUUAAGCUUUCAAGUUUUGGCAGGGCUCCUACCCCCAUCAUCCAAUCCUCUAGCCAAUACAUUGAUUUCAGGUGCAAAAUCUUAGGCUGCGGAAAACCUUCCGAGCCAACACAAACCAGCUUUCUUCCUGAAUACUAGUUUUGCUUUAGUUUCAACACUUGAAGAUGUGAAAACUUUUCUAGUGUGCGCUUGAAGAUGUGAAAGCUUUUCUUGUAUUGGCAUGGGAUCAUCCUUUAGUUCAGUAUUUGAUAAGCUCAAUUGGGUCAGACUUGCAGGAAAUUGAUACUUUAGACAGGAGCACUUGUGAGAGCUACCACACCUUGGUUUCAUUCACUCGCUUCAAGCAUUCAAGUUUGAGUAGUACGCCCAGGCUUUUGGACAACCUAGACUGAUAGUAACUCAAAUCUCCAGAUAUUCUAAGAGUUUGAAUAUUAGCGAGUUUGCUCAAUAUAUCUCGAGUGCAGCUACUAGGGUGUAUCGCUGAUACGAAAAUAAGAUUUUUCAGAGAGCUACAGAAUUUUUCCAGAGGUGCUGGCACAAUGAUGUGACCAAAGUUGAGAUGCACGAGUUUAUGCAUCUUCCAAAUUUCCUCAGGUGCAUUAUCCACGUAGCUUGAUGGCUAUCCAGUGUAUAAAGGUUUCGAAGGCUGCAUAGUGAUGAAGGAAGGCUUUUAAUGGAAGGGAUAUUGAUAAGAAGCAGUCACAGUCACUAGAGCCACGCAAGUCCAGCAGAGGGCAUAAGCCAAAUCCCAAGUACAUGACGUGAAGACUUUCGCUUUAUCCUUGCAUGGUUCAUUCAUGCAUGAGUUCACGUGAGAAUAAUGAAUCAAAGUUGUUAGAGCAAGAAUCAAGGGAUUUGAUAGCUUCAACAAUCGUGUAAGAAUUGUGGAUAAGAUCAAACCCUUAGGAUUAAGGAUAAGAUCAAAUCCUUAGUAGUUGUUGUUUAACUUUAUGUUUCGUAAAAGUAGCAAGGUGUUAAUUCAGUUUACGUAUUUUGAUUACAGCCUUGAUUGUAGGCUGAGUUUGUUAUGUUAGUAUUAUAAAUAAAGGCUCCAGUAUAAUAAAAGGGCAUUCAGUCAAUUAAAUCAAUUCAUCUUGGUCUUUUUCUCGCCAUAAGCAGAAAAACUCUUGUGGCUGUUAGCAAACUUUGGUUGGGACCUAUCAUUUGUUAUCAUAGCAAGGCUAUCAAUGACGACUAACAAGGAACGCAUUGAACGAAUUAUAGCUGAUCUUGGGAGCUUGCAGGACAGAAUGGAACAGAUGGAGGUGGGAAUCAAUGACAAGUUGUAGCGUCUUGAGGAGUCAAUAAGGAAACUCGUGGAAUCAAACAGUGCAACCAAGGGCACCACCAAUCGUGACUCAACUGAAAAUUUAGGCUCUACAAAACAUGUUUGUGAGGAAAGAGAUGCAGGGCGACAUAUGCCUCCAACAUGGAUUACCAAGCUAGAAUUUCCCCGUUUCACCGGCGAUGAUCCAACAUAAUGGUACAGCAGGGUAUCUCAGUACUCUGAGUAUCAGGAAACUAUGGAUGAACACAAGGUAACCUUGGCCGCAUAUCACUUAGAGGGAGAGGCAAAUCAGUGGUGGCAAUGGAUGCAAAGGGCUUACGAAGAAAAGCGACCAGUUACGUGGAAAAUAUUUGUUGAGGAACUAUGGGCACAUUUUGGACCGACAGAGUGAGGAUUUUGAUGAAGCUUUGUCUUGGGUCAGGUAGAUGGGAUCAUUACGUGAAUAUCGUAAGCAGUUCGAAAGACUUGGGAACCGAGUUCAUGGGUGGUCUCAAAAAGCAUUGGUGGGAACAUUUAUGGGGGGCUUAAAACCAGAGAUUGCAGAAGACAUUCGUAUGUUCAGACCCUACACAUUAAAGGAAGCCAUUAGUCUAGCACGUAUGAAGGAUGAUCAAAUGGCACGACAGAAGAAAAUAAUCAGAUCACCAAUUCCUAUUCGGUCCCCAUCUGCUCUGAAUCGAGCGACACCAACAACACCUUAUAAGAGGCUAUCAUGGGAAAAGAUGCAGAUAAGGUGAGCCCAGGGAUUGUGCUUCAAUUGUAAUGACAAAUUCACCGCUGGCCACAAGUGUACCAAAGCACAAUUACUAAUCAUGGAAUGCAAAACAACAUCGGAAGAGGGUUUGUAUGAAGAAUUCGCGGCCGAGGAGCCAAUAAUGGAAUCAAUAGAAACAGUAAACCCUAAACUUACUUUAUAUGCUUUGUCUGGAUGGGCUGCACCACAAACUAUGCGCGUUAUGGAAAAAAUUAGGCAGUAUACAAUUGUCAUCCUCAUUGACAGCGGGUCCACACACAAUUUCAUCAAUUCACGCUUAGCAAAUUUGUUGCAAUUGCCGAUGAAGGCAACAACAUCUUUUUCUAUACAAGUCGCUAACGGGGAGAAAUUAACAUGCCAAGGGAUGUUUGAAAAGGUAAAAAUAUUAAUCCAAAAUAUUCCUUUUUCUCUCACCGUGAAUUCCCUGCCAAUAACAGGAUUGGAUAUGGUCUUGGGGAUCGAAUGGCUCGAGACACUGGGCUCUGUUGUGUGCAAUUGGAAAGACUUUACUAUGGAAUUUGAAUGGGAGAACAAAAAGCAACGCUUGCAAGGAAUUAAUCCUCACGCUAUGCGGUCAACAUCAGUAACAGAAGUUGUAAAAGAAAUUAAACAAGGGCAAGGAGUCUACACUAUAUGCUUUCACACUUCAUUAGAAGACUCUUUUGACAAGACUCCAAUUUGCAUGUGACAAAUAUUGGUCGAAUAUUCAGAUUUAUUCUAGGAGCCUACGCAACUACCACCCUUACAUGACAUUGACCACAACAUUCCAUUAAAAGAGGGAACUGAGCCUGUGAACGUGAGACCCUAUCGAUAUGCAUAUUUUCAAAAAGCAGAGAUUGAGAAACAAGUACAGGAGAUGUUAAAUUCAGGAUUGAUAAGACCAAGCACCAGUCCCUUUUCCUCCCCCGUAUUGUUGGUCAAGAAGAAAGACGGUAGCUGGCGAUUUUAUACUAACUACCGUGCCUUUAACCAAGCUAUAAUCAAGGACCGCUUUCCGAUAUCGACCGUUGAAUACAUGUUAGAUGAGCUCCAUGGUGCUGCUUACUUCACCAAGUUAGAUUUACGAGCAGGGUACCACCAAGUACGUGUAAAUCCAACCGACAUAUACAAAACGACAUUUCAGACUCACAAUGGCCACUACGAAUACUUGGUGAUGCCGUUCGGGCUGUGUAAUGCCUCAUCCACCUUUCAGGCAAUCAUGAACUUUGUCUUUCGUCCAUAUCUCAGAAAAUUCAUUCUAGUUUUUUUUAUGAUAUACUAAUCUAUAGUCCUACAUGGAGCACUCAUUUUCCCAAAAUUGAAAAAACAUCUUCUUUAUUGCAUUUAAUUGAUAGUGAUGUAUGUGAUAUGCAUAGUAAUCCUAUUAAAGGUGGUAAAAAAUACUUUAUAACAUGUAUUGAUGAUUUUUUCAAAAUAUUGCUAUGUGUAUUUAUUACAUUCUAAAGAUCAAAAUAUUUAUGUGUAUUUAUUAAAAUUUAUAAAAAUGAAGUUGAGAAUUUUUGUGACACUAAAAUUAAAUGCCUUAGAAGUGGUAAAGGAGGUGAAUAUGCAUUUUCUGAAUUUUUUGAAUCUGUUGGCAUUGUACAUGAAACUAGCACUGCAUAUACUCCACAACAAAAUGGCAUAGCUAAAAAGAAAAAUAGGACAUUAAUAGAAAUGGUUGAUGCUAUGCUUUUUAAUGCUGGACCUGGUAAAGGUUUUUGGGGUGAGCUAUUUUAAUUGCAUGUCAUAUCUUAAAUAGAGUGCCUAAUAAGAAAACAAAGGUGACACUAUAUGAAUUAUGGAAAAAGAGGAAGUCUAAUCUUUCUAAUUUAAGAGUUUGGGGUUGUAGAGCCAUUGUAAGACUAUCUGAACCUAAGAUAAAGAAAUUAGGAGAAAGGGGCAUUAAAUGCAUAUUCUUGGGAUGUGCUGAGUAUAGUAAAGCUUAUAGGUUUCUUGUAACAGAACCUAAUAGAUUUUUUGAGAUCAAUACUAUAAGAGAAUCUAGAGAUGCAAUAUUCUAUGAAAAUAGAUUUUCCACUAUACCAAAAAGUAUUGAUUCUCCAGAGAAUGAUAAACAAAUAGAAAUUGGUCAAAAGCGUGAUGCUACUAAUGAGCAAAAUCAAUUGUGAAGAAGUAAAAGAAUAAGGACUAUAAAAUCCUUUUGACCAAAUUUUAUAGUCUAUUUAGUUGAAGGGACAAGAGACUCACAAUCAAAACAGAGUCUGAUCCCACUUACUAUAGAGUCUGAUUCCUUCACUUAUGAAGAGGCAAUGAAGUCUCAAGAUGCUGCUUUUUGGAAAGAGGCCAUUAAUGAUGAAAUCGACUCUUUUAUGUGUAAUAAGACUUGGAAAUUAGUUGAUUUACCACCUAGCUCUAAUCCUAUAGGUUGUAAAUGGAUUUUCAAAAAGAAGAGGAAAGUUGAUGGAACAAUUGAGAGAUUUAAAGCAAGACUAGUAGCUAAAGGCUCUACACAAAAAGAAAGCCUUGAUUAAUUCGUUAUUUAUGCACAUGUUGCAAGAAUUACUACUAUUAGAGUCUUGAUUGCUUUGGCUUCAAUUUAUCAUUUUGAAAUCCAUCAAAUGGAUGUAAAAGUAGCUUUCUUAAAUGGAGAAUUAGAUGAGGAAAUUUACAUGAAAUACCAGAAGGAUUUGUUAUGCCAGGACAAGAACAUAAAGUUUGUAAACUAGUCAAGUCUUUAUAUGGUCUUAAACAAGCUCCAAAGUAGUGGCACGAAAAAUUUUGGCAGAGUGAUUGUUUCAAAUGGAUUUAAUAUUCAUGAAUCUAAUAAAUGUGUAUAUAGCAGAUUCAAUGGAAAUAAAGGUGUGAUUAUUUGUUUAUAUGUAGAUAAUAUGUUAAUUUUUGGUUUUGAUAGCGAGAGUAUUAAACUCACUAUUUCAUUAUUGUUAUCUAAUUUUGAUAUGAAAGACAUGGGGCUUGCGGAUGGGAUUUUGAGGAUUAAAAUUAUAAAAAAUGAGCACGACCUAAUAUUGACCCAACCACAUUAUAUUGAGAAGAUUCUAAAGAAAUUUAAUUAUUAUGAUUGUAAGCUUGUGUCAACACCUUUUGAUUCAAACAUAAAAUUGUACCCUAACACUAGUAUAGCAGUAUCCCAAUUAGAAUAUGCGCAUGUUAUUGGGUGUCUUAUGUAUGUGAUGACUUGUACUAGGCCUGACAUUGCUUUCGUUGUGGGAAAGUUGAGUAGAUAUACUAGUAACCCAAGCCAAGCACACUGGUAAGCAAUGUAUAGAAUUCUAAAAUAUUUAAAACAUACAAUGGAUUAUGAUAUAUAUUACACUGGAUAUCCUUUAGUUUUGAAAGGAUUUUCGGAUGCUAGUUGGAUUACUGAUUGAGAUGACCAUACAUCCAUAAGUGGUUGGAUUUUUAAUCCCGGUGUGAGAGCUAUUGCAUGGGGCUCAAAGAAGUAAACUUGUAUAGCAGACUCCACUAUGACUGGAGAAUUUGUAGCUUUGGCUUCAUGUUGCAAGGAAGCUGAAUGGUUAAGGAAUUUGCUUAUAGAAAUUUCUAUUUGGCCUAAACCAAUGCCUCUUGUAUCCAUUCACUAUGAUAGUGAGGCAACUUUGUCAAGGGCAUAUAGUCAAAUCUAUAAUGGAAAGUCUAGGCACAUUGAUCUAUUUUGUUAUUGAUUUUUAGUGAUACAAUAUGAAUGUUCCUAGGUUAUAGGGGAUGGUUUUCACCAAAGGAAUUUUCUUGUUUCAAUAACAACGGCAAAGAAAUAACAAUAAUGAUCCUGAUUAGAAUGUUUUGAAAAUGUGGCUUUAUAUUUGUUGAAUCCGAUAGCAUUAACGUUCCUAGCAUUAACGUUCCAUCUUCACCUGUUAACACUCUUUUAAAUCAUUUAGAAAAUAGUUGAAGGUUUAUUGGUCAUAUUGUAUAAUUGUGGGGAAUGGCAAAUGUAAAUAAAUACAAUAAUUAAGGUGGAACUUUAUUAUAUAAAGUAAUUUGUUUACAACUCUGUAUGUAGGAAGAAAAUAAUAUUAAUAGGUAAACUACAUAAAAUAGUGUACUUCAAGGCACGUUACAAAUGUCGCUUUCCUUAAGACAUUUUUUGCCCCCACCAAUUGAGUGAUGCACAUGGGUUAAGCAAAUACGCCUUCAGGAUACAAUGAAGCAUUUGUUUGUUUGCUUGCGUUGUUCAUCGAUUAAAGCAAACCAGAAUACUCUUGAAUGUUGCAAGCCUACCAAGAAACAAUAUAUUAUUCAUGCAGAAAACGAUAUAUUUGAUUUUUAAUGCACAAAAGAAAUGAAUGUUUAUGUUGAAAUUCGUUCUAGAAAAGAGGGCUAAGAAAAGAGUGGUGUGAGAUCAUUAUUUUCAAAUCUAAAUGGCUUAAACAUGACCUCUAUUUAUAGAUAUACUUGUGCCACUUCAUUUGGGUUGUCAUCUUUAAUGAUACCCCUUCAUUUAUGGCCAUUUGAUCAAGAUUUAAUUUUAACCAAUUGUCCAAAAUGAACCAUCACCAUUUCAUAUGAAAUGUCACCAUGAAAUUAUGCAUCUCUAAGUGAAAUGUCUCUAUGAAAAGUUAUAUCCUUAAGUGAAAAGAUACAUUUUCUAUAAGGCACAAUUAAUUGGACAUGUUUUUACAAUAAGACAUCAUUGAUUUAGACAUGCUUUUACAAUAAGUUACCAUUUAUUUUGAAAUUUUUUCCAACAAGUCCCCACAAUUUUCAAAAUAAAUGAAUUUUAAAAAAUUAUCUCGCACAGGCUUGGAAAACUUAUGCAUAGAUACAGGUGUCUUUUGGACUUGAACCUUCACUUAGUGAAAACACAUCAAGGUCCCAAAAAUUCUCAACUUCAUUUUUAUAAAUUUUAAUAAAUACACAUAGCAAUAUUUUGAUCUUUAGAAUGUAAUAAAUACAUAUAGCAAUAUUUUGAAAAUCAUCAAUAAAUGUUACAAAGUAUUUUUUUACCACUUUUAAUAGGAUUACUAUGCAUAUCACAUUCACCACUAUGAAUUAAAUGCAAUAAAGAAGAUGUUUUUUCAAUUUUUGGAAAAGGAGUUCUUGUGAUUCUAGUCUGUGCACAAACUUUACAUUUUUCAUGCAUAUCAUUUUCGUGCUUAGGGAUUAAUUCUAAAUUACCCAUAUCAUGCAAUUUUCUAAUAUUCACAUGUCCUAAACGAUUAUAUCACAAAGAUAAUGAGUCGACCAUAUAAGCAGAAGAAACAUUCAUAUUAUUGAUAUUGAGUUUAAACAUUCUUUCAUACAUGUAUCCUUUUCCAGCAAAGGUACCACCCUUAGAUAAUAUAAAUUUGUUUCACUCAAAAACAAGUUUAAAGCCAAACUUAUUAAGAAGGCUACCAGAUACAAGAUUAUUUCUAACUUCAGGAACAUGAUAAACAUCAAUAAGAGUUAAGGUUUUUCCAGAAGUGAACUUUAGUUACACAUUGCCUUUUCCUUUAAUUAUUGCAGUAGAGGAAUUUCCAAUGUAAAGAACACUUCUAUCAUCCAUUGCUUUAUAAGAUUUGAAAAUGCUACGAUCCUUGCAUACAUGCUUGAUUGCAGCAGAAUCUAUACACCAUGCAUUAUCAUCUUCAAGAACAUUAAUCUCAGAUAUCAUGGCCACAAAAUUUGUGUUUGAAACUUCCUUUUGCUUCUUCAGAAGUCGACAAUCUUUUUUGAAGUGGCCAGGUUUUCCGCAGUGGUGGCAUGUACCCUUCUUUUUCUUUUUGUCAUUUUGAUUCUCUUUGGAAUCAAACUUUCUCUUUUGGUUAUUCUUAGGGUGAUUAGAAUGCUUAAACUCUUUCCCCUCCUCCACGACAUUAAUUUUAGAGGAUAUAACAGUCUGGUCAAGAUUAACCUUCAAAUUUUAAAAUUUUUCAUAAAUAUUUAGGAAUAAAAAAUCUGCUGUACCGUACAUCCGCCUUGGCCGUACAGCAGAAGAGGGAGGAAGUUUAUCAAUAAUUGAAGAGACAAUAAUAGACUCAUCCAUUUUCAUGUUGUGAUGGUUGAAUUGAUCAAGAAUAUGUAAAAUCUCGUUAUAUUGUUCAACCACAAGUCUAUUAUCAACCAUUUUUUAAUUAAAAAAUUUAAAAGUGAAGAAUUUCUUACUUGUGGCAUCUUUCAUCAUGUACUUAGCUUCUAAUGAGUCCCAUAUUUCUUUUGCUGUAGGUUUGUUGUGGUAUUGAUCAAACAAAGUAUCUAAUAUGGCAUUGCAAAUGUGUCCCUUGCACAUGUAGUCAUCUUGCUCCCACUUCUGCCACACUCCGGAUUUUGCUAAUGUCUCAUCCUCAUGUUCUUAAGGCUUUGGUGUUGUGAGAAUAUAGACCACAUUCAGACUUAUCAAUAAGAAAUGCAACUUUUUCUGCUAACGAAUAAAGUUGCCACCAUCGAACCACUCCAAUUUGACAAAAUCUAUUGCGAAUUAUCGAAGAGAUGAACUUGGUGCUACUGUUGCAGAAAUAACAUCUUAAGAUUGUUGGCUGUAUGUGUAAUUGUGGGGAUGGCAAAUGUAAAGAAAUACAAUAAUAAUGGUGGAACUUUAUAAUGUAAAGUAAUGUGUUUACAACUCUGUAUGUAGGAAGAAAAUAAUAAUAAUAGGUAAACUACAUAAAAUAGUGUGUACUUCAAGGUACGUUACAAAUGUUGCUUUUCUUAAGACAUUAUUUGCCCCCACCAAUUGAGUGAUGCACAUGGGUUAAGUAAAUACGCCUCCAGGAUACAAUGAAGGACUUGUUUGUUUACUUGCGUUGUGCAUCGACGAAAGCAAACCAGAAUACUCUUGAAUGUUGCAAGCUUAGGAAGAAAAUAAUAAUAAUAGGUAAACUAUAGAAAAUAGUGUGUACUUCAAGGCAUGUUACAAAUGUUGCUUUCCUUAAGACAUUAUUUGCCCCCACCAAUUGAGUGAUGCACAUGGGUUAAGCAAAUACGCCUCCAGGAUACAAUGAAGGACUUGUUUGUUUGCUUGCGUUGUGCAUCGGCGAAAGCAAAACAGAAUACUCUUGAAUGUUGCCAGCCUAGUAAGAAACAAUAUAUUAUUCCUGCAGAAAACAAUAUAUUGGAUUUUUAAUGCACAAAAGAAAUGAAUGUUUAUGAUGAAAUUCGUUCACGAAAAGAGGGCUAAGAAAAAAGUGGUGUGGGAUUAUUAUUUUCAUAUCUAAAUGGUUUAAACAUGACCUUUAUUUAUAGCUAUACUUGUGCCCCUUCAUUUGCGUUGUCAUCUUUCAUGAUACCCCUUCAUUUAUGGCCAUUGGAUCAAGAUUUAAUUUUAAUCAAUGGUCCAAAAUGAAUCAUCACCAUUUCAAAUGAAAUGUCACCAUGAAAUUAUGCAUCUCUAAGUGAAAUGUCACCCUGAAAAGUUAUAUCUUUAAGUGAAAAGAUACAUUUUCUAUAAGGCACAAUUAAUUGGACAUGUUUUUACAAUAAGACAUCAUUCAUUUAGACAUGUCUUUACAAUAAGUUACCAUUUAUUUUGAAUUUUUUUCCGACAAGGUUCACGUCCAUGGAUUAAGAGAUUCUCUUGAUUUAAUCUUAGCCUGAGUAGAAAUUCAAGUGUUGAUUGGUGAUUAAUAAAUUUAAAAAAUGAAGAAGUUCAAAAUCCUAUUUUUACACUAUUACUACAUAAUACAUGACAUAAGAUUAUUAAAAACCAGGGGUGGCAAAAUGAAUAUUCGAAUCGAAUCCUAAACGAAUUGGGUCAAAAUUAUGUGGAUUCGGAUUCAAUUCGUUUAUUAAACGAAUUGGAAUCUCAGGAUUCGGAUUCGAUUCGUUUAUUAAAUAAAUAUUUAGUUCGAUUUGUUUAAUUUGUUUAAUAGAAUUAAUAAACGGAUCGAAUUGAAUCAAAAUUCGUUAAUUAUUUGUUAAUUAACCCUAAUAAUAAACGAAUCCAUAAAAAAAUCGAAUUGAAUAUGAAUUCGUUUACAAAGAUUAAAUAAAUAAUCCAAACCAUAAAAUCAAGGCAUGUUACAAAUGUUGCUUUCCUUAAGACAUUAUUUGCCCCCACCAAUUGAGUGAUGCACAUGGGUUAAGCAAAUACGCCUCCAGGAUACAAUGAAGGACUUGUUUGUUUGCUUGCGUUGUGCAUCGGCGAAAGCAAAACAGAAUACUCUUGAAUGUUGCCAGCCUAGUAAGAAACAAUAUAUUAUUCCUGCAGAAAACAAUAUAUUGGAUUUUUAAUGCACAAAAGAAAUGAAUGUUUAUGAUGAAAUUCGUUCACGAAAAGAGGGCUAAGAAAAAAGUGGUGUGGGAUUAUUAUUUUCAUAUCUAAAUGGUUUAAACAUGACCUUUAUUUAUAGCUAUACUUGUGCCCCUUCAUUUGCGUUGUCAUCUUUCAUGAUACCCCUUCAUUUAUGGCCAUUGGAUCAAGAUUUAAUUUUAAUCAAUGGUCCAAAAUGAAUCAUCACCAUUUCAAAUGAAAUGUCACCAUGAAAUUAUGCAUCUCUAAGUGAAAUGUCACCCUGAAAAGUUAUAUCUUUAAGUGAAAAGAUACAUUUUCUAUAAGGCACAAUUAAUUGGACAUGUUUUUACAAUAAGACAUCAUUCAUUUAGACAUGUCUUUACAAUAAGUUACCAUUUAUUUUGAAUUUUUUUCCGACAAGGUUCACGUCCAUGGAUUAAGAGAUUCUCUUGAUUUAAUCUUAGCCUGAGUAGAAAUUCAAGUGUUGAUUGGUGAUUAAUAAAUUUAAAAAAUGAAGAAGUUCAAAAUCCUAUUUUUACACUAUUACUACAUAAUACAUGACAUAAGAUUAUUAAAAACCAGGGGUGGCAAAAUGAAUAUUCGAAUCGAAUCCUAAACGAAUUGGGUCAAAAUUAUGUGGAUUCGGAUUCAAUUCGUUUAUUAAACGAAUUGGAAUCUCAGGAUUCGGAUUCGAUUCGUUUAUUAAAUAAAUAUUUAGUUCGAUUUGUUUAAUUUGUUUAAUAGAAUUAAUAAACGGAUCGAAUUGAAUCAAAAUUCGUUAAUUAUUUGUUAAUUAACCCUAAUAAUAAACGAAUCCAUAAAAAAAUCGAAUUGAAUAUGAAUUCGUUUACAAAGAUUAAAUAAAUAAUCCAAACCAUAAAAUUUUCAUCUCAUUUAUAUAUUGUCUUAUUAUUAUUUAUAAUUACUAGAUUAACCUUCAAAUUUUAAAAUUUUUCAUAAAUAUUUAGGAAUAAAAAAUUAAUUUGAUUAAAUGAAUAAUAAAUAGAUUGUAUUCAGUUCAUUUAUAACCCGUUUAUUAAACGAAUUCUGAAUGAAUAAACGAAUCAAUGUACUCAAACCCGGGUUCGAUUCGUUUAAUUAACAAAUCAAAUCAAAUUUGCUAAUUUAUUAAAUGAAUCAAUUUUUUCAAAUACAAACCCAUUUAAUUCGCUUCAAAUUGAAUCAAAUAAACGAAUCCUGACCCAAAUUACCAACCCUACUAAAAACUCAUGAGAGCUUAGAUCAAGAGAAUAUCCUAAUCUAAUAUCCAUAUCUCCUUUCUUCAUCAACGCAUCAAGCACACUUUUAUUGUUAGAGCACUAGCAAUAUGAAAACGUAAUUAAAAGAUGUGCUCUGCAAAAAAAUCAUAUCAAAUUUCAGAUUUUUUUCCCUGUUAAUUAUUUCUGAACUUAUUUGAAUUUCAACAAAAAUCAUCAUUCUUAGCAAAUCCUCUCCCUAACGUUUCUCUAAUUCUAAAUCCGUCAAUGAUGAGAAAAGUUUUUUCCCCAAAGUUAAACUGAUCGAAGCUAAAUAUAUAAUUAUUAGAAUCUAAAAUAUCCGUGCCCAAAUUUCAUUAAUUAUAACAUAUAUAAAAUAAGGAAAUUGACUGCAGCAAAAACUACGAGAAUCCAGAUUCCUUAAGUAAAAUAUUAUUUAACUUCUAAUUUCAUUACAAAAUAGUUCACAAGUUAAUUAACAUCAGCAUUGGUUAUCAAACUUCAUGCUUUGAUAAGCAAAAUUCAAAAGAAUUUGUAAUGAAAUCACUUACCAACAGCAGAGAAACAAUCGAGCUAUUUCCUGCAGUAACGCCAAUGAUAAUAGAAGAAUCAAUUGUUAGGAAAUUAAGACUCCUCCCAAGAUCUCUCCAAACAAUUUGUCAAUCAACAAAUUACUAGAAAAAUUAAAUAGAGAAAACACCAAUCACAUAACACAAGAUUUACGUGGAAAACUCUAAAUCCGGAGAAAAACCACAACUGUUGUCAAAAGACAACCAGACAAAGAUAUUCAUUAUGUGAAAAAUUUUUACAUUCACGUUCUCAUAAAUAAUUUUCUCACAUUAUAUCUACAUGCUUAAGAACGUUUCUCUCCCAUGUUGGAAGCUCUCAAUGCUUCUUUUGCAUUCACCAAUUAAUUGCUCUCAAUUGGAUGCAUAAAUGAGAGGGAGAUCCCCUCUAUUUAUAAACAAAAAUUUGCCUAAUUAUGCCCACCAAUUCAGAAUUGGUGGCUUAGCCAUCAAAUUUGAUCAACAAAUUUGGUCAAUAAAUUUGGUGCUUAAACCACCAAAUUUGAAGUCACCUUUUUUUUUAUCUUUUUUUUUAAUCAAUUUUCAACAAUCUCCACCUUAAUUAAAAAAAAAAAAUUUAUAACUAUUGCUAUGAAGCACUGUCUUCACCAAUAGUCAUAAUUCUCAGCAUAGAGAAUUAUCAUACUCCACCAUAAGGAGUAUAUCACUCAGAAUCAACCAUUCUAAGAUUUUUUUCUUAGCACAUGUUGAAUAUAUCUACUGAAAAUUAUGGUGUAACUUUCAUUUUGGCUUUCCUAGAAGUUUAUUAGUGAUUGCCAUAUCUUCCACCACACACCCUGCAUUAACACUAACCAUGCCUUGUGUGCAAACUUAUGGACCCUGCUAAUAGUAACAUGUUCUCUUUCAUGGCAACUUGGAGAAUAUUAAUAUCUCAUUUACUGAUUCUGGAGCAAUUAGUCUAGCCCGCUCCACCUUCUGUACAACUUCCUUAAGGUAAUUGUCCACACCUAUAGAUCCUUGUGCAUGCCAAAUUAGAUACACCUUUGACUUGAAUUCUUUAUAAGAAAAAAAUCAUUCUCCCAUUAACUUUUCAACAACAUCAAACCCACUGAGUUUGAAAAACAUUAGUUGCUGACAUAUAUGCUUUAUAGAUCAGCCUUUGGUCUUCACCACGAACUAUUUGGAUUGACUACCAUUGCUUCAUGUGAAUAGUAUUGUAUACGGGAACAGUACCAUAUAAGUGAACAGUAGCCCCAACACCAAGCUUCAAUCAAUGGCUCUGAUAUCACCGUUAGGAAUUUGAGAUUCCUCCCAAGAUCUUUCCAAGCAAUUUGACAAGCAACAAUUUAAUAGAAAAAUUAAAUAGAUAAUACACCAAUCACACAACACAAGAUUUACAUGGAAAACUUAAAAUCUAGAAAAAAAACCACGGCCAUUGCCAAAAGAUAACCAGAGAAAAAUAUUGACUAUGUCGAAAAUAUUCUCAGAAAUAAUUUUCUCUCACCCAAGCCCCAAAUACAUAAUCCCGAGAAAUAUUCCUUAAUAAAGCAAACUCAUAAUACCCAUAUUGAGGAGCCAAAUACUCCUACAAUACAUAUACAUGCUCAAGAACGUUUCUUGUCAUGCACCGCUUGAAAAAAAAAUAAAAAAGAAGCCAAAUGUGGCUGAUUUCAAAAGCAACAGCCAGCUGCCUGCUUCAUGAUUUCACCUACCUGCUUCACUUGUUUUUAUGAGUCGGUGGCCAUAUAUAUAUAUAUAUAUAUAUAUACAUAUAUAUAUCCAUAUAUAUAAUUUGAAGGAGAUGAAAGCAACUCUAAUUUUGUGCAUCCAUUUUCGAAGUGAGGCAGAGAAGAAAAAGAAGAAAACCAGGAGAAAAGAGAAGAAAAAGAAAAGAAAUAAGAAGAGAGGAACGAAAGGCAAAGAGUGAAGGAAAAGAAAAAUAAAUAAUUAAGUUACGGGAAUUGAAAUUGGAUAGUUAGAAUUAUAUCUGUUGGAUCAGUGGGUAAUAGAUUUAUGAAAUUUUAGUGUUAUGAUUUAAUUUACAUGAUACCUAUAAGUUUUUAUAUUAGUCCUAAUAGUUAAUUUUUGAACCUUGUAUUUUAGGAGAAAUCCAAAAAUCCAAAGACUCACAACAGCCCCAACGAACUCCGGAGUGAAACAAGAUCUGUGAGUGGAUACUAUUAUUACUUUUAUGUAUUUCACGAAGCAUUUAUGUUUGAUAAUACGAUUUAAUAUCAUGUUAUGAUUACAUGUACGCAUAUUAUAUGUUUGAUUGAGUCAUGAGAUGUGAUUGCCAGUCACCAUAUAUGUGCCCUUCCCCUUAGACUUUGGCCAUACGUAUUGAGAGUUAGGUUAUUCUACCUGCACGAGAUAGUUUAAUCACACCGAGUUUUGAGAGGUUUUUCCCCCGCUCCACUUGUGCGAUAAUAAUUUUGGCGAGUAUUGAGAUUUAUUUCCCAUGGGCACUAUUUGGUGCAGUUUUGUCAUGUACAUACAAUUUAAUGUUUGUUUAUGCAUUAUAUUUAGUGUGGAGUUAUGUCACAUGAUUGUGUAUAUACCCUAGUACGAUAUUUUAUUUUUAUAUACAUAUAAUUAUAUCUAUUCACUGAGCCGCAAGCUCACUAUUUUCCUAUUUGCCCCUUUUCUCCCACGAUUCCGCAGAAUUUCGUGCAGAUCAGUUCUAGACAAGCGAGGUUGGGCCAUGAGACACAUUACUGAAUGUCUUGCAUUUUGAGCACGUUUAUGUUGCUUAUGAUUCUACACACACACACACACACACACACACACACACACACACACACAUAUAUAUAUAUAUAUAUAUAUAUAAUUAAUUUUAGUGUGAGUAUAUAUAGUGACACAUGAACUGUGCAAGUUUUGAAUAUAUAUUUUCAUAUAAGACACAGAGGGUGUUAUGUACUUAUAUCAGAGACCAUUUUUACAUAUAUAUUUCCAUGAAUUAAGUUUGUGACACAUGUUUUAGUUAUUAGUUCACAUGAUUCACCUCGAAUCCAACAUAUAGGUCGAGGCGGGUCGUGUCAUUUCUCUCCCAUGUUGAAAACUCUCAAUGCUUCUCUUGCAUUCACCAAUUGAAUGCUCUCAAUUGGAUGCAUAAACGAGGGGGAGAACCCCUCUGUUUAUCUCCCCCUCUAUUUAUAGGCAAAGCUUGCCUAAUUAUGCCCACCCCACCAAUUUUGAUCAAAAUUGGUGGCUUAGCCAUCAAAUUUGAUCAACAAAUUUUGUCAAUAAAUUUGACGCUAAAGCUACCAAAUUUGAAGCCACCUUUUUUAUUAUUAAUCAAUUGUCAACAUCAAUUAGAUUAACAAAUAGAAAUAAAAGCUCAAUUUAGAUCCAUAAUGCCCAAUGCGUCUACCACUUCCUAUAUGAAAAUUUAAUUAGUUAUCAAAUUAAUGUUUCAACUAAUCUAAAGGAGACUUGUUACAAACAAAAAAUAAGACUAAUUCAUUAACGUCAUUUUCUUCCUAAAUUCAACUCUAAUAAAUAGUUAUUCUCAUCGCAUGCUGACAAAUUCAUGCUAGUAAUAAAUUCUAAUAAUGGUGUAACUUUAUUAUAUAAAGUAAUGAGUGUGCAACUAUGUAUGUAGAAAGAAAAUAAUAGCAAUAGGAAAACUGUAGAAAAAUAAUGUGUACUUCAAGGUAGGCUGCAAGUAUCGCUUUCCUUAAGAAGUUAUUUGCUACACUAAUUGAGUGAUGUACAUAAUUUAAACGAAUAUGCCUCCAAGAUACAAUGAUACACUUAUUUGUUUGCUUGCAUUGUGUAUUGACAAAAUGAAACAUAAAUACUCUCGAAUGUGGCAAGCUUGCCAAGAAUCAAUAUAUUGUUUCUUGUAGUAAACGAUAUCUGAAAUAUUUGAUGCAUAAAAAAUAGAUAACAUAUGAAGAAAUUCGUUUCAAGAAAGAAGAUUGAUAAAAGAGUGGUGUAGAAUCAUUAUUUUCAUGUAUAAAUGGCCUCAACAAGCCUUUUAUUUAUAGAUAUAUUUGUGCCCCACUAUUUGAGUUGUCAUCUUUCAUAAUACCCCUUCAUUCAUGACCGUUGGAUUAAGAUUUGAUUUUAGUCAAUGAUCAAUAUUGAAUAUUGCCACAAACACGGCUAAUUUUGUAUAGGCUAAUUUGGCAACUUAUGCAGUAUGAGUGAAUUGAUUAAACAAAAAUAUCAUACACAGCAUCCUUAUAAUUAUUUAUAUUUUUCAAUCAAUUCAUUCAUGUCAUAUAAAUGGUUAACUCAAUUUGUACAACUACUGUGCGGCUAUAUUAUUUUAUUCUUGGCUCUUUAAAGGCUUCUAUUUAGAAGCCUUUUGUAGGCUAAGUGUCAACUGUCAAAGAUCAAAGGAUACUUUCCGGCCUGCUACAUGUGCUUGAGGUGACAAAUGUAGUGUAAGCUGGGCCAUUUUCUGGGCCUAAGCAUUGCUUUUGCUUGCUUCAAUAGCAAUCGAAGGCUUGUGGUGGCCGGGGUGAAAAAUUAUUUAUUUUAAUUAUUAAUUAAAUAUAGAUAAUAAUAAAAUGUAAAUGAAAUUAAAAUAUUAAUUUAAUUUAAAUGUUGAAAUAAAAACAUUAUUUUAUAUAAUCUAUAUACUACGUCAAACAUAGUAUUAUAUUACAACUUAAUAUAAUAUAAUACAAUAUAAUACAAUACAGUGUACCAGAUUAGGGUUGGCAACAAACUCCGAAGCCAGACCGGAUCUACAAAGAUCCAGAUCCGAAAAAUUAUGGAUCCGCAUGUUAAAAAAUACGGAUCUGGAUCUUAAAAGUCAAGAUCCGUGCGAAUCCAGUGCAUCCGAAAAAUCGGAUAUCCAGAUCCGUAUUAUUUUAUAAUUAAAUUAUUUAUUUAAUCAAAUUUCAAUUGAAAAUAUAUAAAUUAAAUUAUUUAUUUAAAUGUUUAAGCAUAAUUAACUCUACAAUCUUCAUUAACUAUGAAAAAUAUGCUAAAAAAAUAAUAAUUAGAGAAUAUUGUAAUAAAUCGGUUUACCUUAGAUUUUUUUUUUUUUAUGUUUGAUUUAUAUUGUGCAAUUAUUGUUUGUGAAUUUAUGGUGUUGUUAUAUGUUAUUUAUGUUGAAUUGAUGUUAAAUUGUUGAGUGUUCAAUUAUAAUUGAAUUUUAUUUAAUAUAAUUAUGUAAAUUAUUAAAUUUACAAUUAUAUUUAAAUUUAUUAUUAUGCGGAUCCGAAUAUCCAGAAUAUUCACCGGCAAUCCAUGUGGAUAUUAAUGGCAUCCGGAUCCGCAUAUUUUUUUUCCGGAUCCGGAUGCCAAAAGUUUAAUCCGGAUCUAGAUCCGGAUACACCUACAUUCGGAUCCAGAUCCAGAUUUUGCCAUCCCUAUACCAGACACGUCCUAAAUUAUUACAUCCGGAUCCGGAUUUGGAUUUUGCCAUCCCUAUACCAGACGCGACCUAAAUGAUUAAUGUAUGUUUCAACUAAUCGAGAAAGAGACUUUCCAAAGGCAAAGAAGAUAACAGCUUGAUUAAUUACUUUAGAAAGAUAAGAUUAAUGAAAACGAUAAGAGACUUUCCAAAGGCAAAAGAAGACAACAGCUUGAUUAAUUACUUCAGAAAGAUAAGAUUAAUGAAAACGAUAAAAGGACAUUAUGCUGACAAGAUAUCAUAAAAGAGAUAUUAAUCUCACAUAGGGAUAGUUUUGUAAAUAUAACAUUGAAACCCGCAUGGACUUAUGGUUGUUUUUGUACUAUCUUGUCUUUUAAUUGGUAAUUUAAGCUCUAACAAAUAAUUAUUAAACUCCUAAUGAAACGAUUUAUGGAUCUUAACUUUUGAGUUCCAACUACUAACUUGAUAUUCAUUUGUGGAUGAGAAUAGAAUAAUAAGUAGCACUACUAGAUGAUUAAUACAAAAUUGCAUGUUUGUUACUUUAUUUUAUGGACAAACAACUGAAUGCUACAUUAAUUGAAAUUCAAUUAUAGGGUUCAUGUAUUGAGAUCCCACUUAUUUUUGGAGUUUGGAGAAUGACUCCCACUCUAAAAUUGGGGAUUAAUUAAUAAUUAGGUAAUUACUAGUUGAAUAGUGGUGAAUUAUGAAACUUUGGUAAUUUUUGUCUUAUUUAAUUCUCCUUUGCUUUAAUUGUUUUCUUAGUUUAAUUAGUAUAAUUUUCUUAAAAACUCAAUUUGCUCAACUAGGUUAGAAUUAAUAUUAAUUUUAGAUUUAAAUUAGACUUUUUAAUUUAUAAUAAUCCCUGUGAGUUCGACCUCGUUACCACUAUUCUAUCUCUAAAUUUGUGCCCUUGCGAGUAAAUUAAAAAUUUUCACAACAAGUUUUUGGUGCCGUUGCCAGGGAUUGUGCCAGAAAGUCAGUUUAAUCUAGUUUGAUUUAACUCUUCCACUAAUUAUAAUUUUGGUUGUCUUUUAUUUUAUUUUAUUUAUUUAUUUAUUAAAAAACACAAAAAAAUAUUUAGUUUUUUUACUUUGAAUUCAUUGUUUGGUUGUUUGAUUUCUUUUAAAUUUUUUUUAUUUUUAUUAUUGUUGUUUUAUUUUUCUUCUUUGUCAAGUUAGUUUAUGAAUGUUUGGGAAUGUGAUUCAACAAAUCAUUUGGUCAAAAAAGAGUUAAAAAUUGAUAGUAGUCGAGAUAGUUCUUCAGAAGUGAUGGAUAACUCAAAUAGACUAUUGCCAAUACUUCCACCAGUGCAAGUAGAGAAAACCCUUAGAGAAUAUUUUUCACCACUUGCAGCCAACCAACCGUUUUGUAUUGUGUUGCCACAAACUACAACAACACACUUUGAACUUAAGCCCUCUGUCAUUCAACUUUUACCAUCUUUCCAUGGGUUAGAGAGAGAGGAUCUAUAUUUGCACAUAAGGAAUUUUUUGACAUAUGCUCUACAUUUCGUUUUCAAAAUUUUAAUGAUGAGUCAAUUAGGCUUCGUAUGUUCCCUUUCUCAUUAAAAGAUAAAGUGAAAGUUUGGUUGAAUUCACUUCCUGCUGGGUCUAUUACUACGUGGGAUGAAUUGAGUAAUAAGUUCCUCACCAAGUUUUUCCCUAUGUCUAAAACAAAUGCUCUUAGGAGAGAGAUAAGUGAUUUUUAUCAAAGAGAGGGUGAGCAAUUUUAUGAGUGUUGAGAAAGAUUCAAUGAUUUACUCCUCAAGUGUCCCCACCAUGGUUUUGAGAAAUUGAGACUUAUACAAUACUUUUAUAAUGGUUUCACUAUGUCAAAUCGUCAUAUGGUAGAGUCUAUGAAUUGUGAAAGAUUUUUGAACUUACAUGAACGGUCUGCAUGGUAUUUCUUUAAUUCACUUUCUGAGAAUUCUCAACAGUGGGAUUUUUCAAAUCAAAGCGAGAAAUUAUCUCAAGUUUCUAGAAAAGGGUCUAUAUGAAGUUAAAGAUGAUUUUGAUAUGAAAGCUACUCUGACUACACUUUCUAGAAAAGUAGAUGCCUUAACUAUGAACCAAUCAAUGAAUUAUCAUCCUAGUGUAGCUAAUGAGGUUUGUGCUCUUUGUUGCAAUUUGUCUCAUACAACACAUAAUUGUCCUUCAUUACCAGCUUAUCAAGAGGCUUAUUCUGAGCAAGUACAUGCCUUACAAUCAUAUGAGAAAUCCUCCAAUAGUCCAUAUUCAUCCACAUAUAAUCCUAAUUGGAGGAAUCGCCCUAAUUGUUCCUGGAAACAAAAUCAACCUUUGUCAAACCAAGGAGGACAACAAUUUAGCAUGCCAAAUCAAUAAUUUGUCCCUCCUAACCAAAUAUAUCCCCCUGCCCAACAAACUAUGUCUCAAUUUGUUGCACCCCAACAAACAAAACCUUCUUUAGAGGAUAAACUUCAAAGUUUCAUUCAAUUAACCCAACAAACCUUUCAAUCAAAUACUCAAGCUAUUCUAAAGCUUGAACAUCAAUUGGGUCAAUUAGCAACUAUUGUGGCUAAGAGAGAAAAAGGAAAAUUUCCAAGUUAACUAGUUCCUAAUCCUAAAGGAGUGCAUGAAGUUAGAUUAAGUUCAAGCCAUCAGCAUGAAGAAACAAAGUCUAUUAUGACCUUGAGAAGAGGAAAAUUAUUUGACAACAAAGUGAAGGUUCGAACAAGAAAGACAUCUGAACCUACUUCUUCAGAUCCAGUUCCAUCACAAGACUCAUCACCUAAUGUUCUAGAAGAAAAUGGCCCACCAACUUAUAUUCCUAAGGCUCCUUUUCCUCAAAGGUUAACAAAGGUAAAGAAAGAAACUUCAAUAGGUGAGAUUAUGGAAAUCUUCAAGCAAGUAAGUAAAAACAUCCAUUUACUCGAUACUAUUAAGCAAGUUCUCUCCGAUGCCAUGUUUUUGAAGGAUUUAUGCACUAAAAAGAGAAAUUUACAUGUCACCAAAAAGACAUUUUUAAUUGAACAAACUAGCAAUUUACUUCAAUAUAAAAUGCCACCAAUAUUUAAGGAUCCAGGUUCCCCUACUAUCUCAUGUGUUAUAGGGAGCCAAUUGUUUGAUAAAGCAUUAUUGGAUUUAGGCGCUAGUGUUAAUCUCUUGCCUUAUUCUGUUUACAUGUAGCUUGGACUAGGUGAAUUAAAGCCAACUUCUAUUAUUUUGCAACUUACUGAUAAGUCAAUGAAAAUACCUCGUGGUAUUAUAGAGGAUGUGUUGAUACAAAUUGACAAAUUUUACUAUCCUCAUGAUUUUAUUGUUAUUGAUACUCAGCAUGUACAGGAACCUAAGAAACACAACCCAGUUAUUCCAGGUCGUCCUUUCUUAGCUACAACUGAUGCUCAUAUUAGUUGCAGGACUGGAAACAUGCAUUUGUCUUUUGGCAACAUGACCAUGGAAUUAAAUAUUUUUAAUGUUCCCAAGCAAGCACAAGACGAUGAUGAAGUCGUUGAAGUAGAUAUGAUAGAAGCAUCAAUUGAUGACUCAUUUAUUUCUAACCACUGUGACAAUCUAUUAACAUCAUGCACAACUGACUCUGAUUUCUCUGUUGAUGUUGAUAGUGGUAUUGAAGAAGUUAAUACUUUACUUGAUUCAACUCUUAUCAAAGAUCUAAUUAAGUGGAAAGAAAAGAUUGAGCCACUUCCUCCUGAAGAGAAAAUUGAACCAUUCAAGUUGGAGCUACUUUCUAAAGAAGUGCAAUAUAGGUCACAUUCUGAAAUGAAAACGGUGGUAAGAUCUAAAGUGCUUAAAUUAUUAGAUUUUUAUAUUACUUCAGAUAACUCUCAGGUAAGCUUGGAACAGAAGAGAUCAAAGUAGUGCGAUAUUGAGGAGUUUCAUUACCAUCAUCCUUUUAUCGAUAAAAUGCUUCAGUGCUUAGUGAAUUAUGUUUUUUGGUAUUUUUUGUAUAAUUAAUUUGAUUAAUUAGUUAGUUUAGUAUGAUUUUAUUUAUUUUACUUUUUUUAUUAUUUAUAUUUCUUCUAACGUUUUCUUUUUAGUUGUCAUUUUCUUUUAAGUUUCCCUAGCCCAUUCAGGUGAUCUCUCUCCAACUUUUUCUUUUAUUAUAUAUGUUUUUAUUUAUUUUGUUCUCAUCUUUUUGCAUGCAUAUCUUUUGUUUGUGAAACAUUGAGGACAAUGUUCCGAAUAAGUUUGGGGGUGGGAAUAGUGUGUGCUUUGUUUGUUAUUAAAAAAACCCAAACAAAAUUAAAAAAAAUUCAAAAAUUCAAAAAAAACUUGUGUUUUUUUUUUGUUUGUUUUUAUGUGAAAAGCCAAUGAUAAGGACUUGAUUGACAAUGAAUAUGGUUCUUAGAAAGGGUUGAAUAUUGUCUUAGUUUAUACUUGGUUCUUGUGGUUGUUCCUCUUGAUUGAGAUUCUUUAAUUAUGAGCACUAAUAUCAAUUCUUUCAUAAUUUUGACUUAAAAUUUGAGAUUGACGCAGCCUGAGUUGAGAAUUUUAUAUAGAGUAAAUGACUGUUUGUCUUGAUUCUUAUCUCCACAGUACAAAAUAGUAUAUACAGCGCCAAAGUUAGAAAUAGCUACCUAUAACCCUUAACAGUGAAGCUAUCCUUGAGUAAUUUGGGCCUAUGUAUCACCAAUAUGUAGUGGAUAAUCUACCAUGAGAAGAAGACUAUCUUAAGAGGUAGAGUGAAAGCUCAUGAAUAUGGUAAAAAAAAAAAAAGAAAAAAAUGAAAAAAUGAAAAAAAAAUCAAGUGCAUGUGCUGAAAUGAAAAAAUAAAAAGAGAAUGCACAUAAAAGCCUGUGAAAAUAAAAAUUUGGAAAUCAAGAUGAUAAGAUUAGUUUGACCUACUCUUUUCUUUGUUCGAGGCGAAAGCUUUGAUAUUAAAAUUUUUGGGAAUGAAUUUGAUUGAAUUGAUUCACACAUACACUACAAGAAUCAAAAGAGAGAUGUGAUUGACUAUUGGAUUAAAGUUAAAACUUUUCUAAUAUUUAAAAUUUUCUUUGAGCUAUAUAAUUUGUGCAAUCUUUGAGGCUAUUUUCAUGUUUUAUUUAAAGUUUUUUGUCCUUUUGAUUUGAUUUGAUUUUAUUUUUUUUAAUAUGAUGUUUGUGGGUAUCAUCACUUAAGCCCUCACGAGGCUAUAACCCGUCCACUAGGGAUGUAAAGGCUUGUUGAAUAUGCUAAAUGCAAUUGCGAUUACCUGCAAAAGUGCUGUAGUUAGGAUUUACUUUUUGUUUCAUUGUUUUUUAGUUUUACUUUUGCUCGAGGACUAGCAAAAUCUAAGUUUGAAGGUAUUUGAUGAGCAUAAUUUAUAUAUAUAUUUUACCCUUUAUUGUAUAUUUGCUAGUUAUUUUUAUUUCUUAUUUUUAAUUAAUUGAAUUGUUUUAUUGAAUAGGGAAUUAAUUUGAGAUUAUGAACAAAAAGUGCAUAAAAGAUCCAUAAGAAGAAAGAAUUGAAGAAUUAAAGAUUAUGUUCCAAAGCUUCCGCAUGAGCUUAAGAUAAUUAAAGAAAGAUUUUAUUUAGCAAUUUGGAAUGCAUGUACUGGGCAUUAAAAGAAAGAAAUCAUUAAUUGGCCUUGUUCUUUGGAAGUCAAAUGUGUGGCUAGCUUUCCAAGUUUAAUAAGGAAAUAAUAUACAAACUACAAAGGAUUUGGCGUGUGAGAGCAAAAAAAAUAAAAGGCCAAAGCCUUUGGGCUUUAGAAUUGAAAAGGUAGGGCCCAUUUUGAAGACUAUAUAAGAAAGCUUUUGGCUUUUGGCUUUUGGCUUUUGGACGAAAGAGGGGAGGGAGCCACCAGAGAAAGAAAAUAAGUAGACGCGAUUCGGGAGAGAUAGGAGCGGCAGCAGGUGUUCAAUUUUCAUGGGUGGUUUUAUUUUAUUUGUUGCUCCCAAUUUAAGUAUGUCUAGUUAAUUUUCUUAUACUGAGGUUAAGGCUGAAACCCUAUUCAAUGAAAUAAUUAUCUUUUGGUUUAAUUAAUUCCCUACAUGCGUGUUUUAAUGUUUAUGGUUCUUGUUUCACAUGAUUAGUUGGAUGUUAUUAAAUCUUUUUAUCAAUUCUGUCAUGCAUUAUUGAUUGUUAUAUUAAUAUUUGACUAAAUCUAUGCUUGAGUUUAUGAAGUCUAUACAUGAUCAUCUUUGAUUUCGUGUCUUUCAUUAAACUAUUUACACAAAGUACUUAAGAAAAUUUUGACUCUCUGUUAUUCAAUAUGUUUACAUAUGAUUCUUAUAUAUCAUACUAUUAAGCAGAAAAAGAACCCACACAAGAUUAAUUUUAAUUGGGCUUAAUUGUUAUAUUUAUGAGAUGACAUAGAUUGAUUUCGAGUUGUCACUCUAAAAUUGGGGAUUAAUUAAUAAUUAGGUAAUUACUAGUUGAAUAGUGGUGGAUUAUGAAAACUUGGUAAUUUUUGUCUUAUUGAAUUCUCCUUUACGUUAAUUGUUUUCUUAAUUUAAUUAGUUUAAUUUUCUUAAAAACUUAAUUUUCUCAACUAGGUUAGAAUUAAUAUUAAUUUUAAAUUUAAAUUAGACUUUUCAAUUUAUAACAAUCCCUGUGGGUUCAACCUCGUUACCACUAUUCUAUCUCUAGAUUUGUGCGCUUGCGAGUAAAUGAAAAAAUUUCACAACAGACAGGCAUUUUUAUGACCACUUGAAGAUUUUCCUUACUAAGAAUCACAUGGCAGAAGAUCUUCAAAAAUUCAGUAGAGCUCAUAUCAAGAGAAUAUCUUAUUAAUGACUUGCUAUGUGCAUGCAUGUGCGUGACAAGUAAAUGGAGGAUUGAAAGAAAAUUUUCAAAUUGAAAAAGAUAAAACAAAAGGGAGGAGAAAACAGUAUAAAAAAAAAAUUGUGUCGCCUUCAAUUGAAUUGCUUAAUCAAGAGAAUCUUAUCAUAUUUCUGUUCAAUUACUCGGUAGUGUCCUGUUUGUAGAGGUGUGUGGUAGUCAUUAAAUUAACUUGUAGGAUCAAAUUGAGCAUCAUAUUAUCAUAUACAGAAACCAAGCAGAGAAUAGCGAUUUUAGAAGUAUGAGUUCGAUUGAAGUUGAGGACGCAAAUGAGUUAUUUCAAGCUCAAGCUCAUCUGUAUAAGCACGUAUUGAGCUACAUGAGUUCAAUAUUUCUCAAAUGUGCAGUUGAGCUUGGCAUUCCUGACAUAAUCCACAAGCGCGGACGACCCGUCACUCUCCCUGAGUUAGUUUCAGCACUUGAGUUUCAGCCUAACAAAAGAAAUUGUUUGAGGCGGAUUAUGCGGCUCUUAGAUCACUCAGGCUUCUUUUCCACAACAAAAGUGCAUAACUCCCGAGAAGAAGAAAACGAAGCAUAUGCUCUAACAUCUGCUUCUAAGCUGCUGCUUAAAGAUAAGCCCUACUGCUUGUCACCUUUUGUUUUAUUAGUGACUGAUGCCGCUUUUAUAACUCCAGGCCAUUAUUUGAGUAGAUGGCUUAGAGGAAAUGAGCUUCCUGAUCCAUUUGUAACUGGUCAUGGAAUUAAUAUAUGGGGUUAUGCAGAACAAAACCAUGAAUUUAACAACCUUUUCAAUCAAGGACUUGCCAGUGAUUCUCAAAUGGCAAAAUUGAUUAUUAAAGACUGUAAGCACAUUUUUGAUGGGUUGAGUUCAUUGGUUGAAGUAGGAGGCGGUACAGGAUCAUUUGCCAGGAUCAUAUCCGAGGCGUUCCCAAGCAUAAAAUGCUCGGUACUUGAACUCCCACACGUUAUUGCCGACUUGCCAGAGACUGACAACUUGAAAUUCAUAGCAGGAGAUAUGAAUCAGUCUAUCCCUUCUGCGGAUGCCUUUCUCUUCAAGGUACAUAAUAAGCUUCAACAUCAAUUGCCGGCUAGUUUAUACUUUUUAGCUCUAUAUUUAAACAGAACAUAUAUAAUUUUACUUUUAAGUAUCCGCAUAAUAUGAUAACUGAUCUGGUGGGACAUCGUCGCUCACCUAGCCCACAUGGCCACCUCUACACAGUGAGAACUGGACACGUAGGGCUGUCCCCAGAUCAAAACCCUAUAAAACAUAUAAUAUAUGCUCCAGUCUUCUAAUAUAUAUAUUCUGAAAUUAUGUGUGGUUUGGCAGUUGAUUUUUCAUGAUUAUGAUGAUGAGGUUUGCUUGAAGUUACUGAAGAACUGCAGAGAAGCUGUGGCUAGCAGUGAUGGGAGAGAAAAGGUAAUAAUCGUAGAUAUCGUAGUCAAUGAAAAGAAAGAUAAACCUGAAAUUACUGAAGCAAAGCUCUUGUACGACGCGUUAAUGAUGACUUGUGUUCCGGGUAUAGAGAGAAGUGAGAAAGAAUGGGAAAGGCUAUUCUUCGAUGCUGGUUUCACUAGCUACAAAAUAACGCCUUUACUUGGUUUGAGGUCCUUUAUUGAAGUGUAUCUAUAGAAAGAUAAUAAUCCACAUUUGUGUGAUAAUGUGAUUGGGAGCUUUAUAUUAUAUAUUAAUCGUAGUAUUCCUUUGGACUUUGUUGUUCUUUCUCUGAUAGGAGUAUUAGCUGCUCAGCUGCUUGCAGCCUUUCAGCCUUUGUGUAUUUUCCCUUUACUAAUUAGAAAAUCAGAAUGCUCUCAUGUUUUGUGUUCUCAAAUAUCAAAAUUAUUACUUCAGGGAACAGGCUAAAGUUCUCCGUUUACUGUGUUACUGUAUGAAUGGCUGCAUCGAUGAUAUAUCGGACUUCAAAUUUGACUCUACGCAUCUAGUACAUUCCAAUCCCCAUCUUAAAUAUUGUUUUGCCUUUAAGAGCUUCAGCUUUCACAUCUUAAUCACUACAGUUUUCAUAAUAUUUAAAUUAAAAAAAAUUCUGUGGUUGGGAUGAGUUCAUAUGCGGAAGUUUUGAUGUCAUCAAUGGAAAUCAGUGAUAGAUAUUAUAUAUUAACUGCUAAGGAAGCUCACUGAGCUUGUUGCCAAGUCAGCAGCUCGCAACCUAAUCAGCAAUUCAGACAGCAAUGCUUACUACAAUUAGUUAUUAUGCUGAAGUAGCUUGCUUAGUCAGCAAGUUAGUUACACACUAUGUUAUUCACAAAUCUGAGAUUUUAGAAAUAUAUAUCACCACAACAGAAAUGGCUUUUUGCAACAAAAAGAUUUUGUUGCCUAAAGUGCUAAUUUUGUUGCCAUAGGUUAUUGCUACAAAAACAAGCUUGUCGGCCCGGUCGUCGGCCUAGCACUGUCGCCCUCUAUGUUUAACAACAUAUCAAAACAUUUCUCGCCUCAAACUUCCUUUCGCAACAAAACAGAUUCGUUGUGAAGGAGUCUUCAACUUGUUUAGAGAAUAAUUUGGCAACAAACAUUUUUGUUGCUCUAAACAGUUUUACACAACAAAAUAAUUUUGUUUCUAUAUAGUUAUUUACUACAAAACUAAUUUGUUGCUAAGAAAUAAAGUACAUUUUAUAAAAAAAACGUGUACCAACAAAGGUGUUUGUUAGCUAAGAUCAUUUUAGGCAACAAAACUACUUUGUUUCUUUAUGUUGAAAAUUUUACAAAUUUGCAAUAAAUAUUUAAAUAUUUUUAGAAACAAAUCAAUUUUGUCAUUCAAAAAUACUACAAUUUUUUUUAAUAAUAUCAUGGUAUAAAAGGAAGCAAACCAAGUUCGUUGGGAAAGAUACCAAUUUUUCCCCUACCAUGACAAUAAUAAACUAGAAAUAUAUGUUGAGAAAUCUAACAAAAAAAUCAUUAAUGUCAUUGAACUAAUUUAAAAGUUAAAGGCCCAUUCAGUAUCCAAGCUAUAUAUAUAUAUAUACAAAACUGACUUUAAGAAUCACAUAUGAUAGUCAAAUACAAAAGUGGAUUGUCAUCUAUCCCAAAAAUGUAAUGAGCAAAAAUUAUAAACGAUCUCUAAUUACAACUACUCCAAACUCCAAAUACUUAAAGAUAUGACAUGCACCAGCAGUAACCAAAAAGAUCAAGUGAUGACCAAUUCAAAAUACUAACAAGUUCAAGAUACUCUAAGGACAUCAUUGAAAUGAGUAAUCAUUGAGUAGCUGAAUCUGUAAAGCGAAAAGCGGAUCCUUGAGAAGAAAAAAAUUGCUGCAUCAUACCCUCAAAUUGGGACAAUCUGGACUCCAAUUGAUCAAUAGUCUUCUUUUGUUCUUGAAGCUCAACAUCUUGUGAAUCCAAUCUACUUUGUUGUGAAGAUAUAAUACCAUGCAAUCUGUCAGCCUCAGAAGUAUCAACACCAUGGUUUGAAGUUGGGCGUGGUCCGUUGCCAAGUCCUCGAAAAUAGCCUGAUUUCUUUCCAAGUACUUCAAUGCAUAUUUCCCUUUGAGUUAGUGGUUUUGCCUUGAGGAUCUAUUUGUUGCUGUUGUUGAAUCUCUACCAUUUGGUCCUAUACAUAAAGCUUUGUUAGUAAAUGAAGGAAGAAAAAAAAGAAUUUUAUUAAUUAAAUAGUUGAAAUUUAAUCCAUUGGUCAUGGAAUUAAUUUGUAUUAAGGCAUAAAUUGAAAAAAAAAAAAAAAACUUGCUGUUAUACUUAUAAAUCUAAUUAUUUGAUAUUUCAAAUAAUAAAGUUAAUUAGAGCAUGAAAGAAAAAUUAAGAAAAAAAAACUCAAUGAGUAAACUUUCAUCAACAGUAUGUAGGUGAUAAGAAAUAAUAAAAUUAAAAAUUUUGUUUCCAACAAAGCAUCUUACAUGGUUUAAGUGUGCCACCUCAUUCACCCAACCUUUUGUCUUGCUGAAAUGAGUGACGNNNNNNNNNNNNNNNNNNNNNNNNNNNNNNNNNNNNNNNNNNNNNNNNNNNNNNNNNNNNNNNNNNNNNNNNNNNNNNNNNNNNNNNNNNNNNNNNNNNNNNNNNNNNNNNNNNNNNNNNNNNNNNNNNNNNNNNNNNNNNNNNNNNNNNNNNNNNNNNNNNNNNNNNNNNNNNNNNNNNNNNNNNNNNNNNNNNNNNNNNNNNNNNNNNNNNNNNNNNNNNNNNNNNNNNNNNNNNNNNNNNNNNNNNNNNNNNNNNNNNNNNNNNNNNNNNNNNNNNNNNNNNNNNNNNNNNNNNNNNNNNNNNNNNNNNNNNNNNNNNNNNNNNNNNNNNNNNNNNNNNNNNNNNNNNNNNNNNNNNNNNNNNNNNNNNNNNNNNNNNNNNNNNNNNNNNNNNNNNNNNNNNNNNNNNNNNNNNNNNNNNNNNNNNNNNNNNNNNNNNNNNNNNNNNNNNNNNNNNNNNNNNNNNNNNNNNNNNNNNNNNNNNNNNNNNNNNNNNNNNNNNNNNNNUCUUGAAGCUCAACAUCUUGUGAAUCCAAUCUACUUUGUUGUGAAGAUAUAAUACCAUGCAAUCUGUCAGCCUCAGAAGUAUCAACACCAUGGUUUGAAGUUGGGCGUGGUCCGUUGCCAAGUCCUCGAAAAUAGCCUGAUUUCUUUCCAAGUACUUCAAUGCAUAUUUCCCUUUGAGUUAGUGGUUUUGCUUCUUUAGGAUCGGUUUGUUGUUGUUGUUAUAUCUCUACCAUUUGGUCCUAUACAUAAAGCUUUGUUAGUAAAUGAAGGAAGAAAAAAAAGAAUUUUAUUAAUUAAAUAGUUGAAAUUUAAUCCAUUGGUCAUGGAAUUAAGUUGUAUUAAGGCAUAAAUUAAAAAAAUAAAAGAAACUUGUUAUAAAUUGGAGCAUGAAAGAAAAAUUAAGAAAAAAAAACUCAAUGAGUAAACUUUCAUCAACAGUAUGUAGGUGAUAAGAAAUAAUAAAAUUAAAAAUUUUGUUUCCAACAAAGCAUCUUACAUGGUUUAAGUGUGCCACCUCAUUCACCCAACCUUUUGUCUUGCUGAAAUGAUUGACGCGAAAUAAUUCUAUUUCACCAUCAACCAUGUCAUCCUCAAGAUAAUUAACAAAAGGUCUUGAUCCCCCACAAUGGACAUAUGGGAGCUUAGCACGAUUAGCUUUGUUUUUGGUAGAUUGAGUCUACAUUAAAAAAAUAUAACAGUGGAAAAUAAGAUACAUAUACAAGCAUAUUGACAACUAGUUGGACAAUUUAAAGUUCAUAAUAUGAAUAUCAUUGGACCUGGAAACUUGCGGAAUUGUAAAUGUUAUGACAAAGCCAAGCCCAAUCAUCUGGACAUAUGCCUGGAUAUGAAUGCUUAAGUGCCUCUUCAAAGGAUGGAUAAUCCAAGUAAUGAUCAUACAUCCAAUGUCUCAUAUCAUGAUAUCUCCCACCCAUAAUGUUAUUCACACAUCGACGAACAUGUGGUACGUUCAAAUCAAUCUCAAACUUUGACUGAAUUUAGGAAAAAAAAGAUAUCUCAGUUUAUAAUUAAAAAAAAUGACAGAUGAAGAAUAUUAAUAAUCAUAAGUACUUACUAAUAGUCGAUCAAACAAAACCUACCAAUUAAACUCUUUAAAUACCAAAUUCUAGAGUUGUAACAACACCUUGCACAAACUCUUGGCUGGGCAUAACAGGCUGAGAUUGGGGAAUUGUAGAUGCGACAACAAUUUCUGCUCUUACACGUUUGGUAACUCUAUGUCCAGGACCCAUCUAGUAAUUAUUAAAAAUAUACAUUAGAGUUUAUUAAUGAUCAACAUAAAAAUAAAUCAAGAUAACUAUAAUUUUGUCAAAGAAAUUAUAACAUGAAAGAUCCUAUUACUGGGCAUAGAUCCUACAUUCAUUUGACUAUUGUCCACAAACUCAGGUUCUUCACCAUGAAAAACCCAUGAAAAAUCCAUUAACUUUAAUUUAACAAAUUAAAAAUUGAAACAAAGACCCACUUAAUAAAUAAUUAAAGCAAAACCCACUAAACAAAAUCAAACUCAACAGGCCAAUAUAUAAAAUAAAACUAAAUUUACUUGAAGAAAUUGUUGUCUUGAGUGGUGCCUUCCAAGUACAACUCUUCAAUGGCUUAAAGCUUGGGCAGAGAGAAUGACUCCAUGGCAGGGCAAAAGAAACAAGCGAAUAGUAAAGUGGAAAUAUUCUAGAAGCAAUAUUUUAAUUAAGAAAAAAUUGGAGACGGAAACUUUACUUCGGUUAGCACGCGGUUUAUUAAAUAAAGGGCGCGGAAAUAAAAAAUUAAAAAGCCUCCCACAAAGUCAUGUUUGCUUUUAUAUUAUCUUUAUAUUUUCAUUUAUUAAUUUAAUAUUUUUGUUAACCUUUGCGCAACAAAAUUAAUCUCGUUGCAAAAAACUCUGAGAGCACAAAACAAAUUUUCUCGCUAAUCACAACUUUUUGCAAUAUUUCAUUUGUUGCAACUGAUUCAAGUGUUUGUUGUGGAAAAACUUGAGCAACGAAACAUAUUUUGCCUUCAUUAAGCUUGUUAGGCAACAAGAACACUUUUGUCGCCAAACAUAGCGUAGGGCAAGAAAAUAUUUUGUUGCCACAUAUUCUAAUUUUCUUGCCUAUUCCACAUCAUUAAGAAGAACAAAAUCUGUUUAGCUAUAGCGAUAAAGACUAAUUUUUGUUGCAAGAUAUGAAUUUUAGCAAUAAAGUAAGUUUUGUUGCAAUAGAAUUUGUAGCCAAUACUCUAUUUUCUUGUGGUGUAUAUCACUUGCUGUUCCGAAGCAAUAAUUUUGAAAUCAAAGUAUUGCUCGGCUUCGUAAAUCCAUCCAAUCGGGUCGUCACCACUAAACUUGAAAAUAAAAUUAAAAAUGAAAUUAUGAAAAUUUUCAAUUGAGCUAUUCCUUUUAGUGUAUAACGCUAAAGAUAAUUAGGAGAUUCGCUUGGAUUAAUUUAGCUCUACAAUGCCUAGUGUUUCUAGCUAGUCUACCACUUGCUGUCUGAAAAUGUAAUUAAAUAGUUGUUGAGCACAUGCAUGCAUAUGGCAAGCAAAUGCAUAUGGAUAGCAUACAACUUUUGACUUUAGUACUAAAAUGAGCACCGAACCUAAUAAUUUUGAAAAAUUCAAAAGAGUUGUUGAAAGGUGGCCGAGACGUUUUCUAUGAAAAUGAAUGCAUGCACGGUAAGCUUUCGACUAUAAAUAGAAAAGCAAUUUUCAUUUGAAAGCAUCCUAUUUUCUUUGAUUCAUUUUCUCUUCUUUCGUAGAGAAGUCGAGAGUUGAGUGAGAGAAUUAAGAGCUUUAAUAAACUCUUGAGUGAUUAGUGAGUAAAAGAUUGGGUGUAUUAGGGUUUUCGGUAGUGAGAUAAAUAUUUCAAUAUGUGUAAUCUCCAUUUCACUAGUAAGAUUUUAACCUUCUGUCUUUGCUCGUGCACGUAAACUAAAAGUUGAACUAUGUAAAUUCUAGUAUUCCUGUGUGAUCAUUAUUUUUCAAUUUCACUUUAAUUAUGUGUCUACUACACCCAUCAACUUUCUUUCGUCCAUUAAUUUUUUAAUAGUGGUAUCUGAAACAUUAGUUGUAGUUUUUGGACUCUAGUUACUAUUCACAAGACGGUAUUGUUAAUUUACACAGAAGUAUUCAUUUAUAUGGUACUAUUCACAUGAAACAGUGGAAGCAAUCUAAGAAUUUUGAAUGGGAAACACUACAAGAAGCUGAUGCGUUUGUCACAUUGAGUCAAGAAGGGUCAUAAUAAUAUGGCAUCUCAAACUUAACCACAUGUCUGAACAUGGUUUGAAGAUUCUCUCUAAGCGAAAGCUACUUCUGUUGCUCAAAUCAGUGAACUUAUCUUUUUAUGAGCAUUAUGUUACAAGUAAGCAACAUGGAAUGAAGUCCAGCAGAUCUAAUGCCAAAUUUGACUUAGUCCCUUCUGAUAUUUGGGAAUAGCCAGAUAUAUCUUUAGGAGGUGCAAAGUACUUGGUGGCUUUCAUUGAUGAUUAUUUUAAGAGACAUUGGGUUUACUGAAUUAAAAAAAAGUCAGAUGUAAUUCUAACGCUUUAGGAAUAGAAAGCGUAGGUAGAACUUGAAUCUAAAAAAUGAUCAAAUGUUUGAAGGUAGAUAGUGGUACAGAGUAUACUGACAUCGAGUUUAUUGUAUUUUGUAAGCAAGUAACUAUUCAAAGCUAGUUCAUGUUUGCAUAUAUCCAUCAAUAAAAUGGAGUGAUGGAGUGGAUGAAUAGAACUCUUAUAGAAAAGAUAAGAGCCAUUUUGAGGACUGCUAGUCUACCAAACUUAUUUUAGGCAGAAGCUGCUAAAAUUGGACUGAGAAGCUAAAUAAUUACUUUUAUUUGCAUGCAUUUGGAUGUUAUGUGUAUGUAAUGUACAAUGCCUAAGAAAGAACAAAGCUAGAUCCAAAAUCUAGGGGAUGUAUCUUCUUAAGGUACAUUGAUAACGUGAAGGAGUAUUGUCUGUGAGAUCCCACUGCCCAUAAGAUUGUCAAUAGCGGAGAUAUUAUCUUUAUAAAAGAUCAACUACAAAAGAAAAAUGUGGAUGAUAGCACUGUAAAAAAAGGUAAGAGACUAUACUUAUAAUAUGGAAAAUAAUAUGAAAAAAUAAGAUAGAAAUUCUUUUAAAACAGUACCAGAGUACAAGAAAUAAGAACCAGUGAAGUUCGAGACUCUAAAAGUUCAUCGGUUAACUCAUGAGAUAUGAUUACUAGUAUGACACUCGGAGUACGUUAAAGAGAUCAAUGUGGCAUAUUAUCUUCUGACAGAGGAUGUAGAGCCAUCAACUUUACAUGAAGCUUUAAACAGCUCUGAUGUUUCUUUGUGGAUGAUAACAAUACAAGAAAAAAUUGAAGCUUUACAUAAUAAUAAGACAUGGGAACUUGAACCACUACCAUUGGUAACAAAUAGAUUUACAAGUGAUGUAAAUUAAAAAUUCUCAUCAUACUUGGAUUAGUUUUUCUUAUUGCCUAAAGUUUAUUAUUCUUUUCUUAAUAGUUAAAAAACUUGUUUACUUUUUUCUUCAUGGUUGAGGAUAUUUAUGUUGUGUUUACUUGCUCGAGUGGAAGCGAAAGUGGGGAGUGUGGAUUUCUCCUAUUUUACUGUUUACUUGUUCAUUUAGGGAGAGGAGUGGGAGUCCACUCCUUGGGUCCCACUUAUUUUUGGAGUAUGGAGAAUGACUCCCACUCCCAUGGGGGGAGGUUGGAGUGGUAAUCCACUCCCACCUCUUCCUCUUUUACCCUUCCUUUCUUAAAUAUAAUAUAAUUACAUUAUAUUUAUUUGAAUAAUAUUAUUGUAAUAUUAUUUGCUAAUACUAUAUUUAUUAAAAAUAAAAGUAUUAAACUUAUCUAGAUAUAAUAUUAUUAAUUUAGUUAAAAAUAAUAAUUUGUUUGAUCUACGUUAAAAUUAUUUAAAAAUAAUAUUAUUGUGUCCAUAGAGAAUUAAUAAUAUUACUAUUUAUAUAAUGUUAAUAUAAUAUUAAAUAGUUUAUUUUAAGAAAAUAUUAAUUUUGUACUAUAUUAAUAAUAAUAAUGCAUUAUGCUCAUAUUCGCACCACAUAUAUUUUAAUGUCAAACAUCUUAUUCCUGUCUGAGGUGAUCAUGAUAAAGAUGCUAUUAAUGACAUCUAAAUUCGAGGACAAAUUCUCUCCAUCCUAGAGGGAGUGAUGUAGAUUAGAAAUCCUCAUUAUACUUGGAUUAGUUUUUCUUAUUGUCUAAAGUUUGUUAUUAUUAUUUUUAUUAGUUUAGGAAUUUGGUUUCCUUUUUCAUCAUGGUUUAGGAUAUUUACUACUUAUAUAAAUAACCCUCUCUUAUAGUCUUUAAAGGCAUAUUAGAUUUCAAUAAUAUUUCAGCAUUGAAAGUUUGGAGUGAGUUUUUCAAUUUAGUUAAUUCUCGGCAUUCUGUGGAAUCAACGAGUCUUAACCCCUGGGUUCACGGUAUUCUCUCGGAUCAAUGUGAAUUUAAAUAGUUUCUUCAUUCAAAUAUCCUCAAGGAUCGACGAGAUAUUAGUACUUUAAACUUCCACUGCAUCAAUAAGAUCAAACGUGAUGCCAAUCAAGUGGAAUGGUAUCGUACAAGAUUGCAGGCGAAAGAAUAUGCUCAAAAGCAAAGUAUUGACUUUAAAGAGAUAUUUUCUUUAGUGGUUCAACUCACGCUAGUCAGAGUAGUCUUGGCUAUGUGCAACAUCUGACUUAAAUCUAUAGUGAUUAGAUGUGAAAACUGUAUUUCCUCAUAGAGGUGGAAAAAAGAUCUAUAUACUCCAACUAGAAGGUUUUGCUGAAAUAGGCAAAGGGAACUUGGUUUGAAAGUUGAACAAAAUUCUAUACAGACACUAACAGGCACCAAGAUGUUGAUAUAUGAGAUUUAAUUUAAUUAUAAUGAGCCUUGGAUACAAAAAACAUAGUUAAGACCAUAGUGCAUACUACAAUAUAUUUAAGGAUAAUGAUUUUAUCAUUUUACUGCUGUAUAUAGAUGAAAUAUUGGCAGUAGACACCAACAAAAAUAGAGUCCAAGACUUAAAGGCAUGGUUGUCUAGGGAAUUUGAAAUAAAGACUUAGUACCAGUAAACAAGAUUCUAGAGAUGCAAAUUCAUCGAGAUGGAAAUAACGGGAUGAUUUGGCUCUCUCAAAUAAAUUACUUGAAGAAAAUCAUGCAGUACUUCAACAUGCAAGGUUGUAGGCCAGUUUCUACUCUUCUUCUUAUUAAUUACAAGUUAUCCUCAAUUAUAUAUCCUAGCAAUGAAGUAGACAACAAUUGGUAGUUCGGUUCUCCCUAUGGUAUGUACUAGACCAGAUAUUGCACAAGCAAUGGGAGCAGUUAGUAGAUAUAUGGCGAAACCUAGUAGAGAGCAUUGGAAAACUGUGAAGAGGAUUCUAAGAUACGUCAAAGGAACCUCAGAUGUUGUAUUAUGUUCUACAAUAUCAGAAUUUAUUGUCAGCGGCAGCGUGGACUGUGAGGUACAAUUUCUUGCUUGAAUAUAAUAUAAUUAAUUUUGAGCUAACAAGCCCCUUAAGGAUUAAAAUAAUCUAAUAAUAGUAAUAGUAAUAAUAAAUAUAAUAAUUACAAUAAUAAUAACAAAAGAUCACAUAUUGAAUUAAAAAGUAAUGAUGACAUAAGCAAUGACAUAAGUGAUGAUGUAAUAAGAGAUGCUUGUAGAGAUAGGAAUUCUAGAAUUUACUAAGAUAUUUAUGGAGGGAUAACCUCAACCAUUAAUCAUGAUUUAUGGUGGCAAAAUCCUAGUCAUCCUUUAGUUUUAGGAAAUCCUAUAAAUACCACCUAGCCCUUUCAUUUUUGAAGUAACCUAAAAAUUCAAUAACCUUUUAUUCUAAGUCAUAACAUCAAGUGUAGAGAAAUCCUCAAGUUAGAAAGGUCGAGAGAGUCAAGGAUAAGAAGUAAGUAACACUUCAACUACAAUGUAAGGAUAAAAUUUUUAACUUCAGCUUUAACUAAUCCAUUAUCUUGUCAUGACUACUAUAAUGUGAUUGGUUAUAAUCUAAAUUUUUACAUGGACAAUUAUGCCGCCUAUAUUAUAGCAUGUUCUUAUCUUUAUAUAGUCAGUUAUGCAUAUUAUGAUAUUUUCUUAUUUACUCCUUGUAUGGUUGGUUAUGCCGCCUAUUCUGUGAUACUUUUAUUUAAUUAUGCUAUAUUCGGCUAUGCCGCCUAUAUUAUAAUCCCAUUUUGUUUAAGCUCUAUAUGGACGACACUACCGCUUGUAUUAAAGAUUGUUGUCCUUAAAUAACAUUGAAUAUUGAUUUUGUUAUACCUCUAGGAAUUUCAGAUGUUAUGAUAUAAGUUGCAUUGAACGUAUGCAUUUCAUGGAUUACUUUACAAAGAGACAUUUUAGAAAAUGAAUUUAUGAAAAAUGGGUUAUUGUACUACAAAGUGGUAAAGUUCCCUAAGAGAGCAUGACCUCCAAGCUUAGUAAAAGGUAAUCUUUUGGGGACGGCGAUACGUAACGCCCAAAAGAUCAAAUAAAUUAGGCCUAAGAGCAUGUUGUUUUAAAGAAUAAAAGUGACUAGCCUUAUAGUGCAAUAUACCUAAGGUCCCAGUAAAGUUGGUUUUUUUUUAAGUUUCUUUGAAAAAAACUUAAUAUGGUCAUCUAUAUGCAUAAUAAUUUGUACAUGCAGCAAAGUAUUAACUUACUAGGCAUUAGCUAAUAAAGUCCUUACAUUAUAGGUAAUGAUGAGUAGGGCAAGUUGAUGCCAAGUCCCAACCGAGGCGAAGUGCAUAUAGGCAUAACAAACCUUAGGUUUUAUGAUGGGCUUGGCUUUGUUAUCAUAAAAAAUAAAUAUCUUAACUUUAUGUAAUAAUAAAAUUUUUGAGAUAUAUACUAAAGAAUCUAUGCAUGUCUCUUACAUUUUGUAAAAAGGUUUUGCUUAUUAUAUAAUUUUUUUUUAGAAUUUGUAUUUAUAUUAAAAAGUAACUAGGACCUUAAAUUUGUUUAAAAUAAAUUAUUUUUUUAAAAGUGGAGUGUUACAAAUUGGUAUCAUAGCCCAAAGUUUAAAGCGAUUUUGUAGACCGUCCAUAUGCACAAGUCAAGGGGAAGGACAAGGCUUAGCCUUUUAGUAAAAGCUCAUUGAGAUGUCAAGCCCUAAGGGUAACAUUAGCAGAAUGAUAGCGGAACUAUACAUACAUGAGCAAAAUUAACGAUCUUAUUAAAGUGUAUAGACGAUAAUCUAACCAUGGUGUCACUCGUGGCAAAUCCGAUUAGAAACAAUGUCCCCAGAAGACAGCUGAGCUGAAGAGAACAUCAUGGAUCGAUGCUAAAUGAUAGUUAAACAUGAAUUGCAGUUCUGAUGUUUUCCCCCCUCUAAUUUUUUCGACAUAAAAGUAAAAGGAAAUGAUUAGGAAUAUUAAAUUAAAGUCCGCUUUUACAGUUACUGUUGAAAACUAGGAGGGACUAAACCGAAUAAAACUAAAAUUAUUUGGGCAGUUAUAGAAUUUAUUAAACUUGAAGAACUUUAUUAAUAUUUCACAAGAGACACUACACACCUCACCGUUCUCACUUGUUGUUUCUCUCUCAUUCUUCACAUUACACUUUAUACCUACAUAAAAUAGCCUAGGGCUACCUAUAGUAACCUAGAAGUAAUACAAACCACACAAGUAUUAAAUUACAAAAAUAUGAUAACCACAUUCUAUAAAAUAUAAACAUCUAUGAGUAUUCAAGAGAUUUCUAGACUCAGAUAUUUUCACUACUGUUUAAUAUUUUCUGAUGAGAGACAUCUCCCAUUCUCUCCACAGUUCUUGAAUCUUCCACAGAUUGAGCUUUGAACAUAGGCUUGGACAAAUGUAAUUUGAUUGGAUCAUAAAAUUAGGUUGUACUUUUAAUAUUCCCUCUCAACACUAACUUUCAUCCUUCGAUCCAUAUUGGGCUGCUGGUAGAGCUUUCUGGUACUAUGACCUUUUGUAUACAAAUCCACAAUUUAAUCACUCGUCUUAAUGUUCUACAUUUCAACUUCAUCUUGCAAGAUCGUUUUCCUGAUCAAGUGAUAGUGCACCUCCACAUGCUUAGUUCUUGCAUAGAAAACAAGACUCUUCGCCAAGUUGAUAGCCGAUUGAUUAUCACAAUACAAUAAUGCAUAGUCUACUACUUGUGUAGAUCUUUCAUCAACUACAUCAAUCGAGUACUUUUUUAAGCUAACAUCAUUGCUGCAUUAUACUCCGCCUCUGUAGUUGAUAGUGAUAAAGUCAAUUGUCUCUAAGUACACCAAGAAAUUGCUCGAAAACCAAUUUUAAAAACUUACUUAGUAGUUGAUCUUCCUGUAUCAUGAUCUCCGGUGUAGUCAACGUCACAAUAGCCGACCAACUUGCAACUUUCACCUUUCUUGUAUAAUAUAUCAUAGUUUAUUGUACUUUUCACGUAUCUUAGUUUUGUUGAACUACUUCCAAAUGACGCUUCUUUAGAUUUUGCAUGUACUAACUCAUUACACCCAUUGCAUAUGAGAUGUCUAGUCAAGUUAGCAUUAGGUAGAUCAAACUACCGAUCAUCAUUCCAUCUUGUAAAUCUUUGCCUUCAUGUGUGCACAAUACACACAAUUUUGUAUUGACUUCUAUUGGAGUUGAGAUUGACUUGCAUUCUAACUUUCCUAACAUCUUGAGCAAGUCUUUGGCAUAUUUCUGUUGGCAAAGAAAUAUGCCCUCUUUUAUUUGAUCAAACUCUAGACAAUAAGCAAGAGAGUGACUUAGUGCUACACUGACAUGCAAAGUGGUCUUAACCAUACACAAAGGAUAAGAUUUUCAUCGUCCACGCAUUCUAGCUGGCUUGCUUAUCUCUUGCUGCAUUGGUUUGCGUCUUUUCUAGUUUCUAUCAUGCCCAUUAACGCUAGCUACAAAUGAUGUAUGUCUUCCUUAUUCUAAGAUUCAAUAUUAGCAUUAGUAUUUGUGUAACAAUAAAUAAAUAAUUAAGCUAAAAAAAUGUGAAGUUUAUUUUAUAGAGAAAUGUUUCUUGUCAUGAGUGGUCAUGUGCAAAUUUGUGUGUAAUGUCAUGUGCAAAUAGCAUUCCUCCAGCUUUGUUUAGAAGGAGCAAUGAUAUUUAAUUAAAUAUAGAUACAAAUAUGAUAGAACGUUGACAAAAAUAAUUAUAAAACAGACUUGUUUUACGAUGGCUAAAUUGAAAAAUAUUAAUCCACAAGCUAAAACAGAAUUGCUUUACAAUUGUUUUUUUCAGACUUUUCUAUCAAUCUUGGAUUUCUUUAACAAUUUUCAUUUAGAAGAUGUCCCUAUAGUGGCACAGUGAAAAAUUGAUCUAAUAUUAGAAAAAAUUCUCAGUAUUUGCAGAAAUGAAUCAUUUUCCUAUUCAUGUUUAAAAGUCCCUCAAAAAAUCGUCCAUGCUGUUGAAAACAUUUAUGUUAAGCCUCAACUCGUUUUGGCCCCCCAAUCUUUUAUUACUUUAUCCAAAAUAUGCAAAGCAUCCACUUAGUAUUUUUUUUUUUUAAGAACUAUGAGAAAAAAUGAUUAUUUUUCUACUAAAUCAAAUGAGGCUGACAAAAACAAUAGUCAAUAAGCUGCAUGAUAAUAAUUUUAUAUCUUAUCUAUUACGUCAAUAUUUUGAUUUGUGGCCAAUGAUAAAAUGUCAUCGAGUAGAUUACCUCUACAUUAUGAGUUAUGACCUAAGCAAUAGCUAAAUUUUAUUCGGUUUUGGGUUUUGGCUCUUCAAUCAUCGAGUUGUAUUCGAUAAGUAGGGGUAGGCACAAAAGCCGUUAUCACCAAAAAAAUAAUAAUAUUUAAAUCAGUGGUUUGGUUUAGUCCAAUUAUAAAAGUUAGAAAAAAAACAAUUAAUUUAUAUAAAAAAUCAAAAACCACAAAAAUUAAAAAAUACAAAAAAUUUUACCGUCUUAAACUAAAAAUAUCAAACCAAACCGAUUCGAAUUGCUUAAUUUAUUGAUCAAAGGUAUAUGAAAAGAUCCCGAGAUUGCGGGCUUGAAAGAGGCAUCUUUUCUAUUUUAAAGUAACAUUAUGAAUGAAGAAGGUCUGAUUCAUUAGGCAAAGCUUUGUAAAAAAUGAAAAAUAAAUGGUGUAGGUGCCUCAAAUCAAUUGAUUUCUGUGUAUUAUAUUCAGUAUGUAGAGUAUUGCAAAGGUUUAGCUACCAGCUCAGCUUAGUUAGUUACAGUUUGUUAGAACCAUGAAAUGUAUUGUGAUGAGAGUUAGCAAGUGAGUUCUUAGAUUAGUUAUAGAGAUCAUGAUUAAGAAAUGUAAGUAUAAAUAACAAUAGCUUUGCAACAUUCAUUAUGUCAAGAAAAGAAGAAUUCAGUUUCAUAAAGUCUCCAGAAUUUUCUCACACUUUCUUAACAAACAACAUCUCUAUCUGUCUUUCUUUCAUGGUAGCAGAGCCAAUCAUGGCCAAUUCAAGCAGCACAACCUCUAUUUCAAAUUAAAUAAAUACAAAUCGAUCAUUGCAAAUCUCAUUUUCCUUUUAGCACUCCAGUUAGGCUAGAUUGAUUAAACUUAUUGCAAUGGUGAAAGCAAGUUCUUACUUCAAUAAGAGGAAACUGUCUUGAGCAUCUCAAUUUUGGUACUCAAAUAAUACCAGCUUAAUACAUUACUCACACAGAAGCUGAUGGAUCAGUGUAGAAAAUUGAAAAUCUAGCUCACAUGAACUGAAAAGCAUAGAAUCAAACUCUUCUUGACUAAAUCUUAUCUUCAAUCAAUGAAGUAUCUUAAGCUCUAUUCUUAACUAUGGUAAUUCAUUUGAAGCAUGGAAAUCUAUUGAGAAACAAUUUGGAGUUCAAUUUGAAGUUAAGAUCUUGCAACUUCCAUGAGUUGAAUGUACUUAGAGAGGAAGAUAUGACUGUUAAGGGUAUUGCUUGAAAGUCAAAGCACUUGUUGAUAAACUUGUGUGUGCUGGUAGUCUAAUCUCUGAAAAAGAUCUAUUGAUACAAAUCUUGAAUGCAUUAGGACUUGGACACUUAGAUCUGGCCUCUAUAAUCACUGCAAAAAAAAUGACAUAUGACGAUGCAUAUACAUUGCUUUUGACACAUGAAGCUAGACUGGAAUAAAGUCAAAGUGUUAAGACUGUGUUUAAUGCAAAUUAUGGAAUAAUGAAUGUGAACUAAUGUUAGGCAAUGGGCUAUAACAGAAGAUGAGGCUAUAAUGGAUAUAACGGCACUUAAAUGCUGGAAAUAGAAAUUAUAGUAUAGAAAGGAAGGGGAAUGUUGCUUAAAGCAAAUUCAAGGAGUAUUUCCAAUGGUGUUCAUGGCAUUGGCAGAGGAUAAUGAAUGCACAUGCAAGCUUAUAGGCCAACUUCUUAUAACAAAUAUAUUUCCAAUACAACUCUUGGGCAAGUCUCAUUUUCUAAUGAAGAUGGAUCUGAUGAAAACAUGCCAGUAUGCCAGAUUUGCCAUAAAUCUAAGCACACUGCUGAUGCUUGUUGGCAUAGAUAUGUUGAAAACUAUGUACCUUAGCCUCGACAUUUUGGAACAGGCAAAGGCUAAAGGUCAGCAUAGAUGGCUAAUCUUGAGCCACUUUCUAGCUUUGCUAUACGUUUUGAAGAGCCACAUUCUAUUAAUUACUCUCAUCACUAGAUGUUUAAUACGAAUUCAAUGAUUCAAUCAUUGCCAUAUCAUUCUCUUGACUUUUUCUCUACUCCUAGAGCUGGUUAUAUUGCAAAUCAUAAAGUGUUAGUUGAUCAAGGUUGGUAUCUUGAUGGUGGAGCUACAUAUCAUCUGAAAAAUAACAUGGCAAAUAUGCAUAUUUGAUGUUGCUCUUGUUAGGGAUCUUCAAAUUCCUUCAGUAUGGGUGUCACAGCUUUAGGAAUCUUCAAAUUAUUGUAGCUCUCUUUUCCCAAUAAAAUAUAAACACUUUUUGUCUUUUUGCAACAUCUAUAAAUUGCUUCUUACCUAACAAAUAAUUACCCAAGUCUUGUUUGAGAGUGAACUCAUUGUUAAGUAGGAGAACAAUUUUAAUGUUGUUAAACUUCAAGCUGUAGGUGUUUAUUUUCCUAUCAUGCACUACAUUUUGAUCAUAUUACAAAGGCCUGCCCAGUAAUAAAUGACAAGCAUCCAUAGCCAUAACAUCACACAAAUUUGAUCUUUAUAGAUCGAUCCAAUGGAUAAGGAAACUAAGUAAUGUUUCGAUAUUGUCACUUGAUUUCUUUUCUUCACCCAUGUGAGCUGUACAGAGUUUAAUAAGGUUAUGUCUUUAAGUUUAGUUUCGUUACAACUUCAUUUGAGCACGUGACAUACUUUUCCCCAAUUGUGCAGGUAGUCUAGAAAAUAUUUUAUUGUAACCACUUGUCUUCUUAGCAUUUAGGAGUGAAGAAUGCACUAUUUACUAUUAACAUUGGUCUGCUAUUACCAUGUUCUUCAAUAGAUUGUGUACUGCCACUUCUAUCAAAAGUUAUCUCUUCAGUGAACUCUUUAGUUUCUUCGUCCUGGUAGUCUUUACUUUCCUUAGUGCCUAUGGAUAAGCCUUUACCACACUUUCAUCCUUUUUUAUACUCUAUCAGUCAGUGCCUACUUUCUUUGCAAUUAAAACAUCAUAAUCCCGAGCCUGAGGAUUGGGUUUUGUUGCUUUGAUCAUUUUCACUAGAUUUACUAGUUUUAUUUAAAGGAUUUGAAGGAGUGAAAUUACGAAAUUGGGAAGUCGGGUUUGAAUUAUCAUGAACAACACUUUGAGGACUCUAAAAGUUUGAGUCACUAGCACACUGACUAAAUUGCUUCUCCAACUGCAAAGCCUGUUAAUGUGUUUCUAAGACAGAGUAUAGAUCGAGUAAAUUCAUCUGGUCUUGAAACUGUGAUCAUAGGCCUCCAAUGUAAUGGGAAAUCUAUUGUUCUUCUGUCUCUGUCAAGUCAUUGCGUGGUACCAACCAAUGGAAUUCUAUGGUGUAAUCAUCCACUGAUUGAUUAUCUUGAAUCAAAUUUUCUAGUUCUUGGUAUAACAGUUUCCCGUAAUUGUAAGGUAAGAAUGCCCCAUGUAAGUGCUUCUCAACGUUUUUUAAGAGUCAAUCUUCUUUUUGCCUUGUGAUAACUCUAUGAAAUGAGAGUUAUUAUGGCACUUCUAGACUUAAAUCAAUAUUACUUAAAGAGAAAAUGAUGUGUUUCUAUUGCAUUUUUCUUACAUUUUGUAUAAACAUUCAUUUUAGUUUAGUCUUAAUAAAUUUUGUUUGAUUUAUAAUAAUUCGUGCUUAGAUUGUGUGCAUAAUUGUAGGUGUCCAGAAGCUCAUAUUUCAAGGAAGGAAUGCUGAUGCAAUAGGCUUGCAAAAAUGAGGAAAGAACAUGACUACAAAAAAAUUGAAACAAAUAUGAAACAAUAUAGUGCUGUAGUUGUUGCUAUAGCAACCAUUGUUGUAGAAAUACUAAAAUAACGACAGAGAAAAUUAAGCGCGGGAUACUUGCAAAAUCGCGAUCAGCAGUUUCCUAAUCUUACUUAUGCACGCCUUAGGCUUCUAUUUACCCUAAUUUUCAAUUAUAAAAGGAGCACGCAUCAUAAAGAAGGGGGUGGUGAAUUAAUAUUGAAGAAAUCAAAAGAAAAAGAAGUAAGAAGCAGAAUUUAAGAGAGAACAAGUCUGCACAAUUGAAGAAAUCUGCAAAACUAUUUAUAUUCAGUUUUCAUCCUUUUUCACUUAUUUUCUUACUUAUUCACUAAUUAAGACGAUGUAUUUCAUUAUUGAUAUUUUUUUGUUAAUUUUUCUUUUACAAGUUGUUAACUGAAUUUGAUUAUAGUUGAGUGAUAAACAAUCUCAAUGGGUUCUUGACUGUUCUUAUGAGUUGCUGCAAGAUUGUUGUAGCAUUUUGCUCUAAUGGCUUAUAUUACAAUCAUUAUUUCGGUUGACUUCCCAUUUAAUGGUUUAAGUUAAAAGAGAGCUGCAAAAGGGCCUGUUUUAGUGGAAAUUAUUAGAGUAAUUGAUCUUAAUUUAAGUUUCCUCGAUUGAGUUUAACUUGAGUCUCAAAAGGGCCACACUUAAGUUAAGAUUUGUGAAGAACUAGAUAUAGGGAUUCACCUUGUAGGGUAGAGAGAGUAUAUGUUCAUAAUGCCAUAUCCUAAGUGAAAUAACAACUGGUCAUUGUUAGGUUGCAUAAGGGUAUGAAAAGUCCAACAAGCGACAACUGAGGAUACAAAAUAAUUAUGCCCAGUGCUGUAGGGAUUGCUGCAGCAACUGGUGUUAAUUUGAACAAAACAGUCAGCCCAUGAAGAGAGUUUGAUCAUUCAACUACCUUAUUCUUAAUAAAUUCUUUUUGCACAAUUCAUUUAAUUUACCUUAGUAUUGCAUUUAUUUUAUUAAAUUGUUAAAUUCAUUAGUCAAUCAACUUUAAUUAGAUUUUUCUUUAGAUAGAAGGAAGUUUGCACUAUCGUGAUUGCUGUAGCAUUUCUAGUAACAUCAGUCCCUGUUGAGACGAUCUUGAAUAUUCAUCACUUUAUUACUUGUUGUAUACACUUGCACAUUGACAUCAAUAGCAAAUGAGUUAAAAUAACAAACAAAUUUUUGGUGUCGUUGCCAGGGACUGAUUAUUUAUUUUCGAAGUGUGAAGUUAAUCUUGACAGUGCCAACUUGAUUUAAUUUGUUCUAUUUAUUGACAGAUCAAGACUUGUAUGCGGAAAGACAAAUCUGUUGAAUUUCAAUUUGAUCCUGAGAUUGAAAAGACUGUAAGGAGAUUGCGAAGAGAGUAAAGAAAUUCAAAACUGCUUUAGAAAUGGAUAACUUGCAAGAUGUGGGAAACUUGAAUCCUCAUGGGCCACUACAAUUGUUAAUGUUCAAGAGGGCCAAAAUGGGCACAUUAAUCAGAGACAACCAGGCAACAACAAUGUCAUUUACAAUGCAGAUGACAGAGACAGGGCUAUCAGAGAUUAUGUUGUGUUAACUCCUCAAGUUGUACAUCCUGGAAUAGUCAGACCUUAAGUGGAAGCCGCCAACUUUGAACUUAAACCAGUAAUGUUUCAAAUGCUGCAAACAAUGGGACAAUUUAAUGGACUGUCAUCUGAAGAUCCUCAUCUCCAUCUUAAGUUAUUUUUGGAAGUGAGUGAUACUUUUAAAAUUGCUGGAGCAACACAAGAUGUUUUGAGAUUGAGGCUUUUUCCUUACUCCUUAAAAGAUCGAGUAAGAGCAUUGUUGAAUUCUUUAUCAUCUGAUUCCAUUACUACAUGGAAUGACUUGGCUGGUAAAUUCUUAAUGAAAUAUUUUCCACCAACCAAGAAUGCAAAAUUGCGGAAUGAGAUCACAUUUUUUCACUAACUUGAAGAGGAGAGUUUAUAAGAGACUUAGGAGAGAUUUAAAGAGUUGGUUAGAAGAUGUCCUCAUCAUGGCAUUCCAUGUUGCACAUAGCUAGAAACUUUUUACAAUGGGUUGAAUCCAAGUACUAGAUUGAUGAUUGAUGCUUCAGCAAAUGGAGCCCUAUUAUCCAAAUCUUACACUGAAGUUAUGAAACUUUAGAGAGAAUUGCCAACAAUAACUAUCAGUGGCCAUCAACUAGACAAACUGUAGCAAGAGGAGCAGCAGGGCUACAUAACAUAGAUGCAAUUACAAUACUGUCAGCUCAAGUAACAUCAUUGACUAACAUGGUGAAAGCCAUGACUUCUGCUCCUGCAGCAGUAGAGCAAGUUGCUGAACUAUCUUGUGUGUAUUGUGGUGAGGGGCAUGUAUUUAACAACUGUCCAGGGAAUCCAGCAUCAGUAACCUAUAUGGGCAACUUCAACCGACAGCCCUAGAACAACCCAUAUUCAAGUACUUACAACCCUGGAUGGAAGCAACACUCAAAUUUCUCAUGGAGAAAUCAAAAUCAACAUGCUCCAGCACCCAGUGGAUAGAACAGACAUACUCAGUCGCCUGGUUUUCAUCAGCAGAACCAAGGGCAAAAACACACUAGCCAUGAUCAAAUUAGUUCUUUGGAAACACUUAUUAAGGAUUAUAUCGUGAAGAAUGAGGCAAUUGUGCAAAGUCAAGCUGUAUCUAUGAGAAACCUGGAAAACCAAAUUGGACAGCUUGCCACAGUAAUGAGUAGAAGAUUCCAAGGAAGUUUACCUAGCAAUACAGAAGAUCUAAGAAAAAAGGGUAAAAAACAUUGUAAAGUAAUCAACUUAAGGUCUGGAAAAAAUGUUGACAUUCUUGUUGAUGUGGCUAAAAAGAGGGUGGAACUGAACUCCUCACAAGAACAGCUUCAAGUUGAAAGAAUGUUACAGCAACCUAGCCAUCAAGAUACUAGUGCUAGUAGUCAAGUUACGACAACCUUAGAAGGAAAUCACCCAAAAACUAUUGAAGAAGAUGUUGCAACACCAGUGGUGACAACUCACAAUAAAUCAAAGGAGCAAAUAUUUAUACCUCCUAAAGUUGUACAACAAUUUAGGCAUCCACCUCCUUUCCUACAGAGAUUCCAGAAACAAAAACAAGACAAACAGUUUAGCAAAUUCCUGGAAGUGCUGAAACAGUUACACAUCAACAUACCUUUUGUAGAAGCAUUGGAACAAAUGCCUAAUUAUGUGAAAUUUCUAAAAGAUAUCUUGGCAAGAAAAAUAAGGUUGGGAGAAUUUGAAACUGUUGCUUUAACCCAAGAAUGCAGUCACAUGCUUCAGAGCAAGAUUCCUAAAAAAUUGAAGGAUCUAGAAAGCUUCACAAUACAAUGUUCAAUUGGAGCUAGGUACAAUGGCAGAGCACUCUGUGACUUGGGAGCCAGCAUUAAUCUAAUGUCAUUAUUUUUAUUUAAACAAUUGGGAGUAGGAGAGUGCAGGCCAACAACAGUCACUCUGCAAUUGGCUGACAUAUCUCAUGCAUACCCUAAAGGAAAGAUUAAAGAUGUAUUGGUGAAGGUUGACAAAUUCAUCUUCCUAGUGGAUUUCAUUGUACUAGACUUUGAAGCUGAUAAAGAGGUACCAAUUAUACUUGGAAAACCUUUCUUGGCAACCGGGAAGACUCUGAUAGAUGUGUAGAAAAGAGAGCUAAACAUGAGGGUGAAUGACCAACAAGUCACCUUCAAUGUAUUGGAAGCUAUGAAAAUCCUGAUGAGGCAAAAGAUUGCAACUUUAUGAGUGUUGUGGAUUUUGCUGUAACAGAAAUAAUAAAUAGAUGCUGCAGUAAAGAAGUUAUCAAAGAUGCCACUUUUGAAAGCUUUGAAGAAGAAGAUGUUACAGCAAACCAGAUAAAUUGGAUAGGGGAAAAAUAAUCUACUAGAUGUAGCAGAUUUAUUGAACCUUUAAAUCUUUCAGACGGGGAAGUAAAGACAACUUUACCAUUUAUUGAAUUAAAACUGCUACCUUCACAUUUGAAAUAUGCUUAUCUUGGUCAGAAUAAUACACUUCCUGUAAUCAUUUCAUCUUCUUUGGAUGCAUAUCAAGAAAGGAGUCUGGUAGAUGUGCUUGGGAAAUACAAAAAAUUAAUUAGAUGGACUAUGGAAGACAUUAAGGGGAUCAGCCCAUCUAUAUGCAUGCAUAAAAUUCUGUUAGAGGACUUCUACAGCAAUUCAGUAGAGCAACAAAGAAGGCUAAACCCCAUUAUAAAGGAAGUUGUGAAGAAAGAAAUCAUCAAAUGCCUGGAUAAAAGGAUCAUAUACCCGAUAUCAGACAGUUCAUGGGUAAGGUCAGUAUAAUGUGUUCUAAAUAAAAGAGGAAUAGUAUAAUGUGUUCCAAGGAAAUGAGGAAUAGUACAAUAUGUUCCAAAAAAAUGAAGAAUAACAGUGAUAGCAAAUGAAAAGAAUGAACUUAUUCCUACAAGAAUAGUGACUGGGUGGAGGGUAUGUAUGGAUUACAGGAAGCUCAGUAAAGCCACACGGAAUGAUCACUUUCCACUUCCAUUUAUUGAUCAAAUGUUGGACAAACUUGCUGAAAAACAAUACUAUUGUUUCCUCGAUGCGUACUCAGGUUACAACCAAAUUGCUAUAGACCCAGAGGAUUGGGAAAACACUACAUUUACCUGCCCUUACGAAACUUUUACUUUCAGAAGAAUGCCCUUUGGUCUGUGCAAUGCUCCAGCAACUUUCCAGAGAUGUAUGAUGUCUAUUUUCUCAGAUAUAGUGGAGCAAACAUUGGAAGUCUUCAUGGAUGAUUGUUUACACAACUUGGAAGAAGUUCUUAAAAGAUGUGAGAUGACUAACUUAGUACUCAAUUGGGAAAAAUGCCACUUCAUGGUGCAAUAAGGCAUAGUGUUAGGUCAUAGGAUAUCCAAAAAUGACAUAGAGGUAGAUAAAUCAAAGAUAGAAGUGAUAGAUAAACUGCCACAUCCCACUUCAGUCAAGGGUAUUAGAAGUUUUUUGGGACAUGUUGGAUUCUACAGAAGAUUCAUAAAAGACUUUUCCAAAGUAGCUAAACCAUUAUGCUCACUGCUAGAACAUGACAAGCCUUUUCAUUUUGAUAAAGACUGUCUACAAGCUUUUAAAGAACUGAAGAAAGCUUUGAUCACUGCACUAGUGGUUAUAGCACCAGAUUGGACUCUACCUUUUGACCUUUUGAGUUGUUGUGUGAUGCCAGUGACCAUUCUGUUGGGGCAGUGCUGGGGCAUAGAAAGAAUAAGGCUUUCCACUCUAUCUACUAUGCUAGCAAAACUCUCACUCAAGCUCAGAUUAAUUACACCACAACAUAGAAAGAGCUGCUAGCAGUAGUACUUGCUUUCGAUAAGUUUAGAGCUUACUUGGUGGGUACAAAAGUGACAGUCUACACAAAUCAUGCAGCCAUUAAGCACCUAAUCUAAAAGUGAGUUGCCAAACCGAGAUUAAUAAGAUGGGUCUUAUUGUUUCAAGAGUUUGAUUUGGAGAUUAAGGAUAGAAAGGGGACUGAAAAUCAAGUAGCAUACCAUCUGUCUAGGCUAGAAGCCGAUACAAGUACAUUGACUAAACAAGACAUCACUAAAACAUUUCCUGAUGAAAAAUUGUUAGUGCCACAGCAUGCACAGAUGCUACAGCAACUAGGAUCUCCAUGGUAUGCAGAUUGUGCUAACUACUUAGUAAGUGGAUUGCUGCUACCUGAGUUGAAUUUUUAGCAAAAAAAAUUGUUUUUUCAUGAUGUUAGAAGCUACCAGUGGGAUGACCCAUACUUGUAUAAGUUGUGCUCAGAUCAUGUAAUACGAAGAUGUGUUUCAGAGGAAGAAAUUCCACAUAUACUACAAUCUUGCCAUGCUGCAGCAUAUAGAGGACAUUUUGGUGGACAAAGAAUAGCUGCUAAAGUUCUGCAAUCAGGUUAUUAUUGACCUUUUGUUUUUAAUGAUGCUUAUGAGUUUGCUAAAUAUCGUGACAAGUGCCAAAAGAUAGGAAACAUAACUCAAAGACAUGAAAUGCCAUUGACAAACAUUCUGGAAGUGGAGAUUUUUUAUGUAUGGGGAAUAUACUUCAUAGGCCCAUUCCCAACAUCCUUUGGGAAUUUAUAUAUCUUGGUUGCUGUGGAUUAUGUCUCCAAGUGGGUAAAAACUGCAGCAUUACCCAUCAAUAAUGCCAGAGCAGUGGUGAAUUUUCUUGAAAAAAAUAUCUUUUUCAGGUUUGGCAUUCCACGAGUAAUUAUUAGUGAUGAGGGUACUCACUUCUGCAACAAAGUAUUUACUGCAGCAAUGGCUAAAUAUAAAAUCAAGCAUAAAAUUGCAACAGCAUAUAACCCACAAUCCAAUGGCCAAGCAUAAGUGUCUAAUAUAGAGAUUAAGAAGAUUCUAGAAAAGGUAGGGAACCCUACAAGAAAGGAUUGGUCAUUGCGCUUACAUGAUUCCUUAUGGGCUUACAGAACAACAUACAAGACACCACUUGGCAUGUCUCCUUACCGAAUUAUGUAUGGGAAAGCUUGCCAUUUGCCACUCGAGCUGGAGCGCAAAGCAUAUUGGGCACUGAAGCAAUUAAAUUGGGAUAUACAUGCUGCAGCAGAGUAGAGGAAACUUCAAUUAUGUGAAUUUGAUGAAUUACGGUUAUUCUCAUAUGAAAAUGCAAGAAUCUAUAAGGAGAGGACAAAACAAUGGCAUGACAAACACAUCCAACAAAGAAAAUUAAUUCCUGGUCAACUAGUUAUGCUCUAUAAUGCCAAGUUGAGACUAUUUCUAGGAAAGAUGAAAUCUCAAUGGUCUGGACCCUUCAAGUUGCUCAGAAUUUAUCCUCAUGGGGCUGUUGAUCUCUUAGAUGAAAAGACAAGCCAUGAAUUCAAAGUUAAUGAGCACAGAGUUAAGCAUUACAUGCAUUCAGCUACAAAUUGCUCAAAGGAGGCCUUACUCCUUAGUGAAUCGGCAGUGUGAGAACUCAAGGAAGGUCAGGCUGAAGGACUUAAAUCAAGCGCUCAAUGGGAGGCAACCUAUGGCUGAGGCAGUCAUUUCGAAUGAAAUGGAUCCUCCAUGUUUCUAUUAUAAUAUUUUUUUUCUCUUAUUUUCAUUUUUUUCUUAUUUAGGAAUGUUUAAUUUUUAACUUUUAUUGUUUUGCUUUAAAAAAAAAUGAAAUGAAAUAUGCUAAGUCACGUAAUACUUAGAGUUGGAUUCAAUACUGACAAUUGGUGUGGUAAUGUUAACAGAUUACACAGACAAGCUACUUGACAGUAGCUAUCUGAGGAGAUUGUUGUGCAGAUUGCUAGAGCACACAAUUUGUUGCUACAGCAACCAAUUUUACCAUUACAGUCACUUAAUUACGGAGCCUCACAUUUUACCGUUGGAGAUAACAUGUGACAGCUGGUUGGGUGAACUCGGAUAGAGAUUGGGGAAGGAUGCUUAAUCUUUUAAAUGACCGCAUCAAUAUCUCUUUCCUAUUUUUAUAGGAUAUUAUUAAUAAAUUCAAAAAAAAAUCAUCCUUAAUUUAUCUCUUUUAUCGGAUUUGUUUUAAUUUAUUUCCACUUAUAUAAGGGUUUCACUGUGCAUAUUGAUCUCUAAUACUAUUUUCUUUUCCUUUCACAGUCCCAACCCCAUGACCUCAUAACCUCUUUUUCUCGUUUCACCCUUGGACAUAUUACCACAGUCAUCCUACUGCUGUAGCAAUGCUAAUGUAUAAAAGGACAGCCAGUCGACUAAAAGAUCCCUCACGAUUUCAAAGUUACCAUGCGAAAAAGAAGUAUGAAGAGUUCAUUAAACCGCGUAAGAUUUUAGAAGAAAAAGGAUUUCAGUUCCCACCUCAAGCAUCGGGAAUUGUGCAAUCAUUAUACACUGCUACAGUAAAGCGCGGGUGGCUGGAGUUUUGUAACCACCCUCGAGACCCUGUGUUGUCACUGGUGAAAGAGUUUUACACCAACUUAUUAAGCCUUAGUCAGCACAAUAUUAAUGCUUUCUAUAAUUUACCCUUCGAAGUUAAUUGCGAGUAUGCCAAAUUACUUGACAAAUUAACCCCACAAAGAUGGAACAAAAUUUUCACAACACUUACCGUAAAUGGUGCAUCUUGGGCUAAUGAAGAAGGGCAUAUGAUUAAUAGGAUAGAUUUGAAACCCAUUGCUAAGGUGUGGGUGAAAUUUUUAAAGUCCAGAUUGAUGCCAACCACACACACCACCACUGUUUAACAAGAGAGGUUAGUACUUUUGUAUGUCGUUGUUAGAGGGUUACCCAUAGAUGUGGGAAGCAUUAUAGAAAAAGAAAUUCGAGACUGUGCUAUGAAAAACCACAAAGCAGCUGCCUUGCUAUUUCCUUCACUAAUCACCAGCAUUUGUGUAGUAUCCGGAGUCUGCCUUAAUGCAAAAGAUGAACAUGUUAAGAAUAAUGGUGCUCUCAUUGCAUGCACCAUCGAAUGCAUUACUGGUGUAGUUUCUGGAGCCCCACCCGAACCGGCUGUUGUAGCAGGGGCAAGACGAGUUGUUGGUUUAUAGUAGAGAAUUCAAGCACUGAACACUGGCAUCACUUAAUAUGCUGAAGCUCAUCAGAGGGAAAACAAUCAGUUUUGGAGCUAUUUGCAGCAUUUGGAGGACCACUUAUACCAAUUUACUGUAUAUAUGAAAAGUACCCAUUGAAAUUUCCCUGAUUCAUUGCUACAGUAGUACAAUUUUGGUACCUCCACUACAAAUGGUCCAGUAGAAGUUAGUGAAGAUGCUACUGACAUAGAUGAACCAGAGGAAAAAACUGUAGCAGACCCGCAAGCAGAUGCCAAUAUAGAUGCUGAUGACCAGUCAGACUAGCUUGAAGAAGAGGGUGUCAAGUCUACAACUGACAGUUCCCCGACAGAGGAGGAGGAAGAGCCUGAGAAAGAACUCAAGGAACCCCCAGCCAUGACCUCUUCCAAGUUCAGGAAAAAGCACAUCAUAUGAGCAGAGGAAGAUGAACCUGCAGAGGAGCCUCUCACUCCAGUCCUCUCUCGAAAGGGCAAAGAGAAAGUAAUUACCCCUCCUGCCUCUGAUGAUAAAUCCGAGCAAAUUGAUGCAGAGCUGGAAGCUGCAGCAGCCAGGGUUACUCGUACACCCAUCAAGACAAAGCAUUUACUUGAUAUCAUUGCCGCAAUCACAACUGAAGGGUAUACAGCCGAAGACCCAGCUCUAUCUCCUUUAUAGCAAACCCCCAGCAAACCUAUUCUCGCUAGUCCUAAAGGACCCAGCAAGAGAAAAUAGGGCACUUCUGGAGGUGUUGCUGCAGUAGACACACCAGAGCCAAAGCGGACCAGAUCUGUUUCGUCCCAGCAUACUGUACCCACUGCAACUCCUCCCACUAGCCCAUCACAGAGAAAGAAAAAGACACUACCAGCUACUUUAACACAAGAAUCUCCUAAGGACCGGCUGCGGAGCGCCUCCAAAAAGCAGUGAAUUGGGUGUAAUUUGUUACAACAGUACUUCCAACACCAGAGGAGUACCGCUACCCGCUAGUUUAUUUUACUUCUUCCUGCAAAAACUUUUUUUUUCAUUUAGUUUUAAUUUUCUGAUUCAUUUUGCAUGUCCUUUUAUUUGGUGUAUGCAUAUCUGGUUUCUGUGGUUUUGUUUUGUGUUCGUGUGAGGACACAACACCUUUCAAGUUUGGGGGGGUUUUGUGCUGUUAUACAGUGUGUGAUUGAGUGCACUGCAUGUGUUGUUGUGUCGUUUGUUAAGUGAAGCUCUGUUAUCUACUGCUUGUGUAUGGAUUUGAAGUGAAGCUCUGUUAUCUGUGCACUGCAUGUGUUGUUGUGUCGUUUGUUAAGUGAAGCUCUGUUAUCUACUGCUUGUGUAUGGAUUUGAAAGCCUAAUGAAGAUAAAUUGAGUGUUACUCAGUAUGUAUGAAUGCCCAGUAGGGAUAGUUAUAGAUGGAGGUUGAAAUUCCAUCCCGACACUUAGAAUUUGGUUGAGAUUCAUGAGAAUACUGCAACAAAAUCAAGAAAACUGCAAAGAGUAGAAAAUAUCUCAAGUUUGAGGGACAUUUUUGUGUUGAACUGUGCUUAUUUUGUAAUAAAGUCUGCUCCAAUGGCUUAAGUGCCUGAGUAACCAGGGCUGAGUAUGUAUCCCAUAUGCAAACUUGAGUUAAAAGUCAGCAAGAGUUAUGAGCAUUGCUGUAGCAAUUUAUAUAUAUAUAUAUAUAUAUAAAGAAGUCCUCUAUCUGAGAAAUUGAGCAGCCAGGUCUGUUCAUCAGCCCCAUAUUCAGCCUUAAGUUAAAGAUAUCUUUAGAUAAGACUAUGUUAUGACUAUUGCUGCAGCAACUCUAACAUGUACGUUGAGUGAGUAAUUGGGUGUCAUUAUUACAAGUGAUAGGCAUUCACAUGAAAGCUCAAUGUUGCAUUGUAAAAAAAAAAAUUGUUUGUUGAAGCACAAUUUGAGUUUAUUUGUGAAUUCUACUCUCUCAUAUGUGAAUGUAUUUGUGUUCUAUCUCUGAAUUAUAUGCAAUGUCUCUGUAGUGUUGUAGCACCUCUGGACUUUGAUCAAAGUGGCACACACACAUUUUGGACAAAAUGCAACCUAAGUCUAGAACUGAACUGCUAUAGCUAUUUUGUGUGAUUAAGAGUGUGAUCUGUGGGUGGAAGAAUCCUUGCAACUUUGAUGACAGAGCUGAGCUAUUUGUUGCAUGAUUGGGUGAUUGAAGUGUUAGUAUUGUUGUCAUUACUUGAGGACAAGUAAUGGUUUAAGUUUGGGGUGGUGAUAACUCUAUGAAAUUAGAGUUAUUAUGAACUUAUAGACUUAAAUCAAUAUUACUUAGAGAGUAAAUGAUGUGUUUCUAUUGCAUUUUCUUACAUUUUUCAUAAACAUUCAUUUUAGUUUAGUCUUAAUAAAUUUUGUUUGAUUUAGAAUAAUUUGUGCUUAGAUUGUGUGCAUAAUUGUAGGUGUCCAAAAGCUCAUAUUUCAAGGAAGGAAUGCUGAUGCAAUAGGCUUGCAAAAAUGAGGAAAGAACAUGGCUACAAAAGAAUUGAAACAAAUAUGGAACAAUGUAGUGUUGUAGUCGUUACUGUACCAAUCCUGGAACAACAACAGAGAAAAUUUAGCGUGAGAUACUUGCAGAAUCGCGAUCUACAGUUUCCUAAUCUGACUUAUGCACGCCCUAGGCUUUUGUUUACCCUAAUUUUCAAUUAUAAAAGGAGCAUGCAUCAUAAAGAAGGGGGGCGGUGAAUUAACAUCAAAGAAAUCAAGAGAAAAAGAAGGAAGAAGCAGAAUUUAAGGGAGAACAAGUCUGCACCAUUGAAGAAAUCUGCAGAACUAUUUAGAUUAGUUUUCAUCCUUUUUUACUUAUUUCCUUACUUAUUCUCUGAUUAAGACGAUGUAUUUCAUUGUUAAUAUUUUGUUGUUAGUUUUUCUUUUACAAGUUAUUAACUGAAUUUGAUUGUCGUUGAGUGACAAACAAUCUCAAUGGGUUCUUAACUGUUCUUAUGAGUUACUGCAACAUUGCUGUAGCAUUUUGCUCUAAUGGCUUAUAUUUCGAUUGACCUCCUAUUUAAUGGUUCAAGUUAAGAGAAAGCCGCAAAAGGGUCUGUUUUAGUAGAAAUUAUUAGAGUAAUACUUGAUCUUAAUAUAAGUUUCCUGGAUUGAGUUUAACUUAAGUCCCAAAAGGGCCACAUUUAUGUUAAGAUUUGUGAAGAACUAGAUAUAGGGAUUCACCUCGUAGGGUAGAGAGAGUGUAUGUUCAUAUUGCCAUAUCCUAGGUGAAAUAACAACUGGUCAUUGUUAGGUUGCAUAAGGGUAUGAAAAGUCCAACAAGCGACAGCUGAGGAUGUAAAAUAAUUCUGCCCAAUGCUGUAGGGAUUGCUAUAGCAACUGGUGUUAAUUUGAACAAAACAGUCAGCCCAUGAAGAGAGUUUGAUCAUUCAACUACCUUAUUCUUAAUAAAUUCAUUUUUACGUAAUUCAUUUAAUUUACCUUAUUACUGCAUUUAUUUUAUUAAAUUGUUAAAUUCAUUAGUCAAUCAACUUUAAUUAGAUUUUUCUUUAGAUAGAAGGAAGCUUGCACUAUCGUGAUUGUUGUAGCAUAUCUAGUAACAUCAGUCCCUGUGAGGACGAUCUUGAAUAUUCAUUACUUUAUUAUUUGUUGUGUACACUUGCACAUUGACAUCAAUAGCAAUUGAGUUAAAAUAGCCAUCACAUUGCCUAAUCCUUGUGAGCAUAGUUUGUUGGCACUAAGCUGCUGCUCUUUCACCUAACUUGUGUUUGAAUUCUGGAGUAGGAUGACGUUCGGUGAGUAACUUUGCCGUUCGUGCCAUUUGUGCAGCUAAGAUAUCAAUCAUGCCUAUCAUUUUAGUCGAGGCUUUAUCUCUAGGAACAUCAUCCUAAUUGUAAGUUGCUCUAUAAGGGCCAUGAUCCUAGGCUUUUCUUGGUGGCAUUUUCUAAAUUUUGGCUAAAAAAGGGGUCUGGGGGCUAAACUAAAAAUUGAACAGAGUUUAAGGUAAAAUUUAGUAAUAAAGUGAAAGUUUAGGUUCCCUGUGAUGGUGAUAAAAAAUCAACCAAGGAUGGGUGGAUCUAAAAGAUUUUGUAUCAGUGAGGAUGAUGGUUAGUGGUGGUUUGUCCAAAAAGGUGGUGUUUAGGUCGAAAUUUUGAGAUAAAGGCGGCGGGUUUGUAUUUGUUUUGAUUUUCGGAGAUUAGUGCGCCAAUAGGCAGUGGGGAAUGGUGAGAGAGGUUCAGCUGAUGGAGAGGAGUUGAUUGGUGGUGAUAAUGAUAGCCAAUACGAUCAGAAUCUAGCAAAUGACAACGGCAGUUGACACGGCUGUUUUGGCAAUUUUUCUGGUGUUUUGUGGCCAAUUGAUAGUGUUCGUCACUUGGGGUUUGAUGGUCGGCUUUUCUGUCUUUGGUGGUGGAGGUAAUAGACGGAACAAUGAUGGAAAAGUUGUGCCAGCAGCUAUAGACGACAAUUGCUAUAGUGCUGACUUUUUUGUUGCAGUAUAUAUAUAUAUAUAAAGCUAAAUAAAAAAGAAAUCAAAAACACGAAAAGAAAAGGUUUUUGGUGGUAGAUAGUGUUAGAUUGGUAAUACCAGGACUUUGCCUCUUACACCUUGCAGCGAAAGUUGAAAGUUUAAAAUAUUUUGUUGAUUUUAAAGAAUAUUAGAAUACUAGAAUAAAGAAUAAGUUAAAUUCAUGUUGAUUCAAAAUAAUACCACGAAUUUAGGGGUUAAGACUUGAUGAUUCCACAGGAUAUUGAGAUCGAGAAUUAACUAACUCGUAUAAUCACAAGAAAUUUGAAAAUUGAAAAUAUCAUUGAACUUGAAUCUGCCUUCAAAGGCUACAAGAGGGAGUUAUUUAUAGUAGUAGUGAUUAUCCUAAAUUAUUAAAAAGGAAAAAAAAAUUCUAAAUUAGAAAGGAAAUUAAAAGUCCUAAACAUAGUUUAUAAGGAAACUGUGUUGGGGUUGGGGCCUCAGCAUCCUUCUGUGCGCUUGUAAGUAUAACAUCCUUCUGUGUAAUUCCACUAGGUAGCAGUAAGGGUACCUAGGGCGUAACUGCCUAGCUCGUUGGCACAAAUAUGCAGCCUUUCAUGUCCACCCGCUACUUAGUGUAGGGCUCUGCACUUCCAUGGUAUAGGAAAAUAAAGUUAAGCCUUAGCUAUCAGCUUAAGCUUUCAGUCUAGUGGUAAACGCUUGAUCGUAACAAACGAAUCCUAGUAUAAUCUAGAUUCCUAAUCUGCAUCAAUAUUAAUGAACAAUUCAAUGGAUCAGAUUAGCUCAUUAUUGGCAAUGGACAAGGUCUGACCAUAACUUAUAUUGGUGAUGUAUUCCUCGCUUUUAAAAGCUCUAAUAUUAAAUAAAAACACAUACUUGUAGCUCUCACAAAUAUCUUACUAGUUUCCUCCAUUACCAAGAACCUUUUAAGCAUUUCCAAACUUACUAUUGAUAACAAUCUGUCAAUUGAAUUUUUUAAUAAUGUCUAUAUUAUGAAGGAUAAUCUAGAGGGCAAAUAUUAAUGUAGAGCCUUGUUGAGAAAAGGUUAUGUAGGCUAUUAAUAAACCCCUCUCGGUCAUCAUCUUUAUUCUUUCUUUCCUAUACGUCUUUCAAUCAACCAUUUUUUAUGUUAUUACGCUAUCAUUUUGAUUCUAUUGUUCAUACUAGUAUUGUUAAUAAAACUGCGAAUUUGAAACCUUGUUAUCAAACUCUUAUAUCUCUUUCCAAUACAUCAGUCAAUAAAGCAAUAGUAUUUCAUAGAAAAUUUGGUUAUCCUAAUUCUCAAAUGAUGUUGCAUAUGCUGAAAAAUAUUAAAUUCAUUCACAUUCCUACAUAUUGAAUACAAUAGUUGCAUCAAACAACAUGUGAAGCAUGCUAGAUGGGCAAAGUUCACGGACUUUAUUUUCCCUCCACAGAUACCAAAACUUCCAAAGUUCUUGAACUCAUACACAUAGACUUAUAGGGACUUGUUCUUAAUUCUAUCUUGAGAUGGUUAUCAUUAUUACAUAAGUUUCAUUGGAUGAUUGGAUAUAUCCCUUAAAAUUCAAGUCAAGUGCAUUGGAAGUUUUUAAACUUUUUAAGUUGCAGAUCAAAAAUCACUUCAAUACCACUAUUAAAAUGCUGCAAUCUGACUAAAAGGGAAUAUAGGCCUUUCACAAAAUUCUUAAACCAAUCAGGCAUUAUAUUUCGACAUUUCUAUCCAUACACACAUUAUCAAAAUAAGUUGGUUAAGAGGAAAACAUUAGACAUAUUAUAGAAUUAAGUCUAAUUCUUCUUGCUCAAGUUCAAUUCUAGUGAGAUGCCUUCCAUACAGUAGUAUAUCACAUUAAUAGAUUACCAUCUAUUGUUCUAAACUCUUAACCAUGUAUGCAAAUACAAACCUAACUAUGACAUGCUCAGAUCUUUUGGCUACACAUUAUAUCCUUAUUUGAAGGAUUAUAACAAACAUAAGUUUGCUUACCAUUUUAGCAAAUAUAAAUUCAUUAGUUAUAGUCUAUCACAUAAAAGAUAUAAAUGCUUGCAUGCUUAAGGUUAAAUGUAUGUUGCCAGACAUGUUAUUUUGAUGGGUUCAAAUUUCCAUAUGCUACAAAGUCUAUAUUUCAUAGUCAUACAAAAUCUAGCUCUCACUUUUCACAGUCUAUUACUCCUCAACAUGUAUAUCAUUUUUCUACUUUACCUAUCAUACCAAUCCUUCCCAAUGACAACAUUGAUAAUCUAAACUCUGUAAGUUUUGAAAGCAACAGUUCAAUCCAUUCAUUUUUUCUUGAACAAUAAGAGGCCAAUCGAGGUUGACAAUAAGGUACUACUAGUAAUAUUUUACUUUCACACACAUAAGCAUCAACCAAUGAUCCUAUACACAAUCCAUCACUCCCUUAAAAUCUUAUCUCACCCAAUCGACCGUCAAUUAACUCACAUAUUCAUUCUCAUCCACAAUAAAACAUGUAUAAGAUGAUAACCAUAAGCAAAGUAGGCGCCUUUAAGCCAAAAGUAUAUACUACUACUCUCAUUCACAAGGAAUUAGAUAUUGUACAAGAGGCCACUACAAGAAAAUAGGGAUAAGGCAACAUCAUUUUAACAACGUGCACGUAUGAAAUGUUGUCAAAUUUAUAAUUUAACAACAAUCGCAAAUUGCAUGUUGGCAAAUAUAAAGUUUUAGCAACACACAAUGAGUGACCGUUGAGUUAAACUUUAUCACAACAAGCAAUCAUUUGUUGCGAUACAGGAAUAUGUAAUGACAACAUUCAAACUUUGCAUGUUGUAAUUAGUUAUUUAAGACAACAUUGAAUUGUCUGUUGCAUAAAUUAUUAUUUAAAUAACAACAUUUAGUUGUGUGUUGUUAAAUUUUUUUUAACUCAAUUUAAUAUGAAGUUGGUAUAAAUUAGACAUAAAUAGAUGCUUAUGAAAUUUAUUCAUAAAAAUAUUAUAACAAAAUUUUUUUUGAGUAUAUCAUUAACUAUAUUUCUUAGAACUAAAAUAGUAGAAAAUAAUGUGCAAUAAAUAAAAAGUUUCAUUGCGCGCGCAUAAGUUAUACAACGCGGGUUAAAGCGCGGCAAAAGGAAGAUGAAAAAAAAAAGACAAAUUGACUAAACCAAAAAAAAGAAAAGAAAAGAAAUUGACUUAAUGAAACCUGGGUUCACUUUACAAUGCCACUUUACUCUUUCUCUGCCACUCAAGCAAAUCAAGCCCCUUCAUCGUCAUUGUAAUAACAAGUGCCCAAGGAAUCGGGUUUAUCAGGUACAUUUCUUUUCAAUUUCAUUAAUAAAGCUCAGUUUCACUUUCCUAAUUCCAUUUAAUUAAUAGUUGGCUCUUUCCACUAAUUCUUUUCAGGAGAUUUCGGGCUUUGUCCUAAUGUUCCCACUCAAAAUCGUUCCAGAUGGUCCCAUUGCAAAUUCAUUGCUUGGUAUGUGGGACAAUUCUUUAUUGUUUGUGGGGUUCAUAUGUUAUGACAUAAACCAAACUAAUAUUAAUUUUUUGUGGUGGGUCAUUGAAACCAAAAGAUGAUUUUCUUCUUUGAAAAUAUUUACACGGAAAAGCUGAUUUUGGAGAUUAUAUUUUAUUUUUAAUUUAAAUUAGUAAAUAUUACUAGUGAGAUGGAUAAUGAUUUCUUUUAAUUGAGUGGCGCAAUUUUAAUCUAUUAUUGGUGUUGUUGACAUGAUGAAACAGGUAAUUUCUAUUAACGCCAUUGAACAUAUUCUCCUUUAUCAGCAGUGACUUUUUACAAUUUGACUGCGAAGCAAAACUUGAGGUAUUGCUUUUUGCUGUAUAAUUAAAAUUCUAAAUGAAAAUUCUCUAUUUUGAUGUUUGCUUUAAAAAAUUUAUUGCAGUUAUAUUAUUUUGUCUAUUUUAUGUUUGUUCAUAGUCUUAUUCUGUUAACUUUUACUAACCUAUUGGAUACUCUAAAUGGAUCCUAUUUCUUUAUAUUUAUCUUUAUAUGGUCCAAACUAAUCACCUUUGCACAACCAGGUCUUGCCAACAUUAGUAAUUCAAAAUGGAUAAAAGAUGGGUCUACUUCUCAAGGUUUCAUGUUUAUUUAAUAAAAUAAUGAAUAGUUUUAGGAACAAUUAUAGCUUUAGAUUAACCAAUAAGUUAUUACUCUCAUUAUUAUUUUUUUGUAGACAUUCAGAUGAAUAUAGAAAGGGAGCACGUGAUUUUGUUAAUAGUGCUCGUGCAAAUUCAGGUAAUCUAGAUAUAAUAGUAUGUCCCUGCAUUCGUUGUAAGAAUGUACAACGCCACCAUUUUGAUUUAGUGUAUGAACACUUGGUUAUGAAAGGCAUGGAUCCUACUUAUAAUACUUGGGUUCUUCAUGGAGAAAAUUCUACUUAUUCUGGAAUGUCAAUGCAAUGUGGUGAUAUUGAAAUGACAGAAACAUAUCAGAUGUAUAGAGAUCAAGUUUAUUUUCAGGAGCCAAAUGUAUCAGAGCACACACAUGAAAGUAGCAAAGUAGAGUUCACAAAUCUUAUCAAAGAUGCUGAAACUCCAUUGUAUCCUGGAUGUACAAAGCACACAAAAAUAUCAGCAAUUGUUUCCUUAUUCAAGCAUAAAGUUACCCAUGGUAUAUCUGAUAAAGGUUUUGAUGAACUUCUUCAAAUUGUUCGUGAUAUUCUUCCAUCAGAAAACACACUUCUAAGUCAUUGUAUUCAACAAAAAAGCUACUGUAAGACCUUUGACCUUGGGUAUGAAAAAAUACAUGCUUGUAUAAAUGAUUGUUGCCUUUUUAGAAAGGAGUUAGGGAAUGCACAUAUGUGCCCUAAAUGUGGUGCUUCCCGUUGGAAAGUUAAUGAGCGCACUGAAAAGAUUCAACAAGGAGUUCCUGCCAAAGUUUUGCGUUAUUUCCCAAUAAUACCAAGACUUAAAAGGAUGUUUAGUGUAACUGAUAUGGCAGAACAACUUAGGUGGCAUCAAACUCAUAAAAGUCAAGAUGGCAAAAUGAGGCAUCCAGUGGAUUCGCUUGCAUGGGAUAUUAUAAACAAGAAGUGGCCAUCUUUUGCAUCUGAUUCCCAAAACAUUAGAUUUGGCCUUGCUACUGAUGGUUUUAAUCCCUUCCAAGAUCUUAGCACAAGAUACAGUUGUUGGCCUGUAAUUUUAGUCAUCUACAAUUUGCCUCCAUGGUUAUGCAUGUCCAAGGAUAGUUUAAUGUUAAGUUUAUUAAUUCCAGGGCCAAAGCAACCAGGUAAUGACAUAGAUGUUUAUUUGGCACCGCUUGUAGAAGAUUUGAAAGAGCUAUGGAUAAAUGGAGUUGAAGUGUAUGAUGCAUUGAGUGAAUCCACAUUUAAUUUAAGGACAAUUUUAAUGUGGACCAUUAAUGAUUUCCCAGCUUAUGCAAAUCUGUCAGGUUGGUCUACAAAGGGAAAAUUGGCAUGUCCCGUUUGUCGUCAAAAUACUUGUUCGAAAUGGCUGAUUAUUAUUAUUAUUAUUAUUAUUAUUAUUAUUAUUGGCAACAUGCAAGAUAUGUUGUUUAUUGUAAAAAAAAAUUGAAAUUAAUGGCAACAAUUAGUUGCUUGUUGCUAUAUAGUUUAUGACAACAUUCACAAGCUUGUAGUCAAAAAUUUGGAUGCACAUGACCUUUUUAACCACAAUCACUACAAGUUGUCAUAAGACAUUUAACAACAUUCAUAUCUUUUUCAACAACAUAAAUUGCGCGUAGUUGAAAGUUACCUACUUUUCGCUACAGCAAGAACCGCAACAUGCAUGUGCUCGUCGUGAAACCCCUUCCACAACAAGCUUUGCCUGUUGUCAUAUAGUAUUUUUCUUGUAGUGGGCCUUAAGUGAUUUAAGGUGGUUGUAAGCCAUGAUGGAAGAGUAUGAUGCUUUAAUCAGAAAUAGUACAUGGACAUUAGUUCGAAGACAAGUUGAUCAGCAAGCUGUUGGAAACAAAUAAUUGUACAUAAGCAAGUAUAAUAUUGAUGAAAGUGUGGCUAAAUACAAAGUCAGGCUAGUUGAUAAGGUUUUUAGCAAGUAGCAAGUGUGGUAUGACAAGCUCAAAGUUGUCUGUUGCAUUGGGGUUUUGUUAAUACAACUCAGACCCCUUUAUGUUUAUCAGAAGAAAUACAAUAUAUUUUAUUCUAACACUCAUUUAUUUUGAUGAUAUAUUGAUCACAGGUCCCAACACUUCAGAAUUUGAAAGCUUUAUAGCCCAAUUCAGUGUAGCAUUCGCUUUGAAAAACCUUGGGAUUUUAUCUUAUUUCCUUGGAAUUAAUGUGUAUGAUGUAGACUGUAUACAUCUAUCACAAAGGAAAUAUAGGAGAGAGUUGUUGACUAAAGUUGAGAUGAUUGAUAGAAAAGGAAUUGACACUCUUAUGGGUACUAGAACGAAGUUGAAAAAGUUAUCCAAGGGGAACUUGGAUAUUAUCUUGACGAUCCUACACACUAUAGGAGAUAGUUGGAAGAAUGCAAUACUUGAAUACUAACUAUAGGCCAAAAAUUGAUUUUGCUGUCAACAAGCUCAAUCAAUAUGGCUUUGCUCCUACUUUACAACAUCUAAUGGCAUAUAAAUAGUCUUAAGGUAUCUGAAAGUGACUCAAGAUUAUAGCCUGAAGUUCACAAGAGAAGGAAGCAUGAAACACACUGGUUUUACAAAUGCAGAUUGAGUAUGUGACUUAGAUGACAAGAAAAUAGUUGGAGCUUAUUAUAUGUACUUAGGCAAUAAUCUGAUAUCAUGGUCAUUGAAGAAACAAUAUGUUAAAAUAAGGUCUAGUGCAGAGAGUGAGUAUAGAAUUAACAUGGUUACAAUCUUUGUUCACAAAGCAGGGGGCAUAUUGUACAGAAAAACUAACAAUUUGGUGUGAUAACGUUAGAGUCACUGAAUUGGCAAAAAAUCAUGUUUAUCAUUUAAGAACAAAACAUAUUGGAAUAGAUAUGCAUUUCAUUUGAAACAAAGUGGUUGCAAGAGAGCUUAAGCCAAGUGAGGAACAAAUUGCUACUAUAAUGACCAAGCCACUUUCAUUUGUGAGAUUUAAUUACUUGAGAGCCAAACUCAAUGUUCAUCUUUAUCCCUUGAGUUUGAGGGCUAGUUGAAGCAGCUCAUUGUGGAGAAUGAAGGAAUGAAAAGUAAGAGAAAGAGAAACUUAAGGUAAAGAAGGAUGUAGAGUAUCGCAAAGGUUUAGCUAUUGGCUCAGCUUAUUUUGUUACAGUUUGUUCGAAGUGUUAAAUGUAUUAUGGUGAAAGUUGCCUGAUGAUUUCUUAGAUUUGUUAUAGAGAUCAGGAUUAUGAAAUGUAAGUUUAAAUAAAAACAGCUUUGUAACAUUCAUUAUAUGAAGAAAAGAAGAAUUCAGUUUCAUAAAGUGCUCUAGAAUUUUCUUACACUUUCUUAACAAACAAACAUCUUAAUUUAUCUUUCUUUCAUUGUGAAAUCCCAUUAUUCACCAAAUGCUGAGGUCAAAAUUUUCUCCUUCACUACUGAUAUUAUUAUAAUUCCCAAAUACUGAAGGUAUAUUGAAAAUAAAUGAUUGAUUUAAAAUUUUAUUUCAUGCGGGAAGGUUGUUUCAAACUAGGAAGUUUGUGUUUAACUAUCUGCAGUGGAAAAAAAAUCUAAUUUUAAAAUCAUCAUGAGAUUAUAAAUGCCAUAGAGCCAUUUUUUUUAAUUAAGAGAAUAUUAUCUUAUUUCUGUUAAAUUUGUUAGUAGUGUACGUCUUGUUUGUAAGGGUCCACUGUUUGUCACUAAAUUAACUUGUAGGAUCAAACUGAGCAUUAUAUUAUCGUACAUAGAAACCAAGCAGGGAAUAAGCACAUAUUCACGGAUGGAAUAUUAAUACGUGAUCUUGUUACCACAGAUUCAAAAAAGUCCUCAUCAAAGAAUAGAAACGGAUAUUGUGAAAAAACACAGCAGGGUUAAUACAAGCGCACUGGAUGUUGUUUUGUUAAGUCAAAUAGUAAGCAAAUGCUCUUUCUUAAAAUAAUACCAGUCGAGAUACAGUAGUUAAUACCAUAUUAUUUCUCAUUUGGCUCAAAAAAAUUAUGGGAUGAGAAAUCCGCUUGUCAUAAAUCAAACACUGACAAAGCAGUGAAUUUUCAGAUGGCUAUUAUUGCUCAUCCUAGAGGAGAGAUACUAGGUAAUAGAGGACAACGUGGAGAAAAAGAAGAGGAAAAUUAUUAUCCAAGUUAAUAAGAUGAAGACUUUUGAGUAAAAAAAUACACGUAUUAAUCAAUUCAUGAACAAAGAGCUAACAUUGUAACAAGAUCACGAAAGUAAAUUAAAAUUAGUUCCACAUAACACAUAAUUCUCGUGGAAAAAUAUAAGUCUGGCAGUCUUUUUAGCAUCAACGCUCCCUCACUUCUAUUUGAAACUAGGAAAAGGUGUUCAAGAACAAUUGUUUUUCAUUCGUCCUAUGCCCAACAAAAUUUUCUACAUUCAAUAUUUAAUAAAACUUAAUUGCCUAUGCCUAAUAUUGCACCAUUGAAGUUGGGCAAUUAGCCCAUACAACUGAAAUUGAAUGAAGCAGCAACCACAUUGCAGAAGGCAAAAGUGCGACUGCCUCACGUGGAGCUAUUCCUGAAUAGAAACCCCAACCAGUUGAACAGUAACAACUCUACACAUUCAGCUCAACAAAAGUAGUAGAUUUUGUUUGGUAUAACUUUUCAAGUAAAUCUUAUUUAAGUAGAGUUUUUGUUAGUACAGCUUUUACCAAAAAAAUAUUAAUUGUUUGGUUGUCAAUAUCAGCCUUUAUUAAAAAUUUAUGCAAUUAUUUUAAUAGACAAGUUUUGUAAAGUUAUGUUAUGAAAAGAAUAAAAUAAGAUUGUUAAAUAAGUAUAGGAUAUUUUAUAUAUUUUAACAUUUUAAAAAAAGAUUUUCAACCUCUAUUCCCAAAAAUCUAAAAUUUGAAAUUUUGUUAGUAGAGACAAAAUAGCUUAUUUAAGCUUCAUGAAUUGAUUAAUAUGUGUAUUUUUUUUACUCAAAAGUCUUCAUCUUAUUAACUUGGAUAAUAAUUUUGCUCUUCUUUUUCUCCGCGUUGUCCUCUAUUACCUAAUAUCUCUCCUCUAGGAUGAGCAAUAAUACCCAUCUGAAAAUUCAUUGGUUUGUCAGUGUUUGAUUUAUGACAAGUGGAUUUCUCAUCCCACAAUUUUUUUGGGCCAAAUGAGAAAUAAUAUGCUAUUAAUUAGGGGCGGCUCAAUCAUAUUUUUGGCCUUAGGCAAAUUGUUUUAUUAGACCUUCCAAAGAAUUUGAGGUAAAAUGUGUGUAUUAAUUUUAUUAAAAUUUUAUUUAUUUAAAAUCAAUUCUCUAACUUCUAGUAUGCAAAAUUAUUAAUCAAAUUUUUAUAUUCUAAUUUCCCUAAUAUUUCUUUCUCAAUAGACAAUAUAGUUAACCUAUUUAAUAUUUUGUAUGAUAUAGUUGAUCUUAAAUAAGUUUUCAUCAAUGGCUCCUUUUUGAGACUAAACUAACUUUUUUAUUCUUCUCUUCUUUUUGAAGUUUUUGUAUCCUAAUGCAUAUUUUUUUAGUAGACAUUUUUUUUUCUAGUGAAACAAGAGUAAUUAAGCAAACAAUUAUGCUAGAUAAUUAUGAGAAAACAACCUAUGAACACAAUAAUAUUUUUAAAAAGAAACUAAAACAAUUGAAUAACAUAAUUAAUUAAUAAGUGGAUGGAAAGAUAGAACUUGGAAAUUUGAGAACUUCAACUUUGAUGGAUUGAGCUUUGAGUAGCAGAUGGAAAGUAAAACAAUUGAUUUUUUUUUCCUUAAGUGAAAAGUAGGGUAGAGAAAGUAGUUUUUUUCACCAAAACAAUGAAGGUCUCAUGUAUUUUUUUUAAUUGGGAAAAGAUAUUAAUGGAUAAUAAUUUAAAAAAAUAUGUGACCUUUAUAGAGUUUUAGAUGAAAUAUAUGGAGGAAAUAAAUAGGAUUAAAAUUGUUAAUUAUAAUGUUAAAAGGGAACUUUGUAAGGAUUAGUAGUUUGUUUAUGGAAAGUAUAGUUAUAAAAUAAUAAUAAAUAUAAAUAAAUAAUUAAUAACUAUAACUUAGAAAUAAAAUUAGGGGCCUUUAUUUAUAAUGGGGCCCUAGGCAACCGCCUAAGUUGCCUAGGGAAGAGCCGCCUAUGAUCAACGUCUCUAUCGCGACGAGCACUCUCACAAACCCUAACUAGCACAGCAAACCUAGCAAACCCUCUCCCCACAGGAACUCUCCUAGCAUUCCAACUCCUCACUCCCAUCUUCACCAAUAAUGGGUCCUGUGACGCCGCUACACGCCCCACGCUCCUCCUCCUCCUCAUCCUCGCCGCAUCUUGCUUCCUCGCCUCCUUCACCGACAGUGUCAAGUCAUCAUCCAGCAAACAAGUGUACUACGGUUUUGCCACCUUCAAAGGGUUGUUUUUAUUUGAUUAUAUUCAAAACCCUAAUGCCUCAGAUCAUGAUCUGCCAGAUUUAAGGAAGUACAGGAUCAGAUUCAUCGACGGUGUGCAUGCAGUUUUGUCUGUCAUUGUGUUUGCUGCUGCGGCUUUGAGAGACAAGAACGUUUUGUCUUGCUUUUUUCCGACGCCGAAACAUGAAACUCAAGAGGUUUUGGACAUUGUUCCUGUCGGAAUAGGGCUUAUUUGCAGCUUNNNNNNNNNNNNNNNNNNNNNNNNNNNNNNNNNNNNNNNNNNNNNNNNNNNNNNNNNNNNNNNNNNNNNNNNNNNNNNNNNNNNNNNNNNNNNNNNNNNNNNNNNNNNNNNNNNNNNNNNNNNNNNNNNNNNNNNNNNNNNNNNNNNNNNNNNNNNNNNNNNNNNNNNNNNNNNNNNNNNNNNNNNNNNNNNNNNNNNNNNNNNNNNNNNNNNNNNNNNNNNNNNNNNNNNNNNNNNNNNNNNNNNNNNNNNNNNNNNNNNNNNNNNNNNNNNNNNNNNNNNNNNNNNNNNNNNNNNNNNNNNNNNNNNNNNNNNNNNNNNNNNNNNNNNNNNNNNNNNNNNNNNNNNNNNNNNNNNNNNNNNNNNNNNNNNNNNNNNNNNNNNNNNNNNNNNNNNNNNNNNNNNNNNNNNNNNNNNNNNNNNNNNNNNNNNNNNNNNNNNNNNNNNNNNNNNNNNNNNNNNNNNNNNNNNNNNNNNNNNNNNNNNNNNNNNNNNNNNNNNNNNNNNNNNNNNNNNNNNNNNNNNNNNNNNNNNNNNNNNNNNNNNNNNNNNNNNNNNNNNNNNNNNNNNNNNNNNNNNNNNNNNNNNNNNNNNNNNNNNNNNNNNNNNNNNNNNNNNNNNNNNNNNNNNNNNNNNNNNNNNNNNNNNNNNNNNNNNNNNNNNNNNNNNNNNNNNNNNNNNNNNNNNNNNNNNNNNNNNNNNNNNNNNNNNNNNNNNNNNNNNNNNNNNNNNNNNNNNNNNNNNNNNNNNNNNNNNNNNNNNNNNNNNNNNNNNNNNNNNNNNNNNNNNNNNNNNNNNNNNNNNNNNNNNNNNNNNNNNNNNNNNNNNNNNNNNNNNNNNNNNNNNNNNNNNNNNNNNNNNNNNNNNNNNNNNNNNNNNNNNNNNNNNNNNNNNNNNNNNNNNNNNNNNNNNNNNNNNNNNNNNNNNNNNNNNNNNNNNNNNNNNNNNNNNNNNNNNNNNNNNNNNNNNNNNNNNNNNNNNNNNNNNNNNNNNNNNNNNNNNNNNNNNNNNNNNNNNNNNNNNNNNNNNNNNNNNNNNNNNNNNNNNNNNNNNNNNNNNNNNNNNNNNNNNNNNNNNNNNNNNNNNNNNNNNNNNNNNNNNNNNNNNNNNNNNNNNNNNNNNNNNNNNNNNNNNNNNNNNNNNNNNNNNNNNNNNNNNNNNNNNNNNNNNNNNNNNNNNNNNNNNNNNNNNNNNNNNNNNNNNNNNNNNNNNNNNNNNNNNNNNNNNNNNNNNNNNNNNNNNNNNNNNNNNNNNNNNNNNNNNNNNNNNNNNNNNNNNNNNNNNNNNNNNNNNNNNNNNNNNNNNNNNNNNNNNNNNNNNNNNNNNNNNNNNNNNNNNNNNNNNNNNNNNNNNNNNNNNNNNNNNNNNNNNNNNNNNNNNNNNNNNNNNNNNNNNNNNNNNNNNNNNNNNNNNNNNNNNNNNNNNNNNNNNNNNNNNNNNNNNNNNNNNNNNNNNNNNNNNNNNNNNNNNNNNNNNNNNNNNNNNNNNNNNNNNNNNNNNNNNNNNNNNNNNNNNNNNNNNNNNNNNNNNNNNNNNNNNNNNNNNNNNNNNNNNNNNNNNNNNNNNNNNNNNNNNNNNNNNNNNNNNNNNNNNNNNNNNNNNNNNNNNNNNNNNNNNNNNNNNNNNNNNNNNNNNNNNNNNNNNNNNNNNNNNNNNNNNNNNNNNNNNNNNNNNNNNNNNNNNNNNNNNNNNNNNNNNNNNNNNNNNNNNNNNNNNNNNNNNNNNNNNNNNNNNNNNNNNNNNNNNNNNNNNNNNNNNNNNNNNNNNNNNNNNNNNNNNNNNNNNNNNNNNNNNNNNNNNNNNNNNNNNNNNNNNNNNNNNNNNNNNNNNNNNNNNNNNNNNNNNNNNNNNNNNNNNNNNNNNNNNNNNNNNNNNNNNNNNNNNNNNNNNNNNNNNNNNNNNNNNNNNNNNNNNNNNNNNNNNNNNNNNNNNNNNNNNNNNNNNNNNNNNNNNNNNNNNNNNNNNNNNNNNNNNNNNNNNNNNNNNNNNNNNNNNNNNNNNNNNNNNNNNNNNNNNNNNNNNNNNNNNNNNNNNNNNNNNNNNNNNNNNNNNNNNNNNNNNNNNNNNNNNNNNNNNNNNNNNNNNNNNNNNNNNNNNNNNNNNNNNNNNNNNNNNNNNNNNNNNNNNNNNNNNNNNNNNNNNNNNNNNNNNNNNNNNNNNNNNNNNNNNNNNNNNNNNNNNNNNNNNNNNNNNNNNNNNNNNNNNNNNNNNNNNNNNNNNNNNNNNNNNNNNNNNNNNNNNNNNNNNNNNNNNNNNNNNNNNNNNNNNNNNNNNNNNNNNNNNNNNNNNNNNNNNNNNNNNNNNNNNNNNNNNNNNNNNNNNNNNNNNNNNNNNNNNNNNNNNNNNNNNNNNNNNNNNNNNNNNNNNNNNNNNNNNNNNNNNNNNNNNNNNNNNNNNNNNNNNNNNNNNNNNNNNNNNNNNNNNNNNNNNNNNNNNNNNNNNNNNNNNNNNNNNNNNNNNNNNNNNNNNNNNNNNNNNNNNNNNNNNNNNNNNNNNNNNNNNNNNNNNNNNNNNNNNNNNNNNNNNNNNNNNNNNNNNNNNNNNNNNNNNNNNNNNNNNNNNNNNNNNNNNNNNNNNNNNNNNNNNNNNNNNNNNNNNNCUCCUAGCAUUCCAACUCCUCACUCCCAUCUUCACCAAUAAUGGGUCCUGUGACGCCGCUACACGCCCCACGCUCCUCCUCCUCCUCAUCCUCGCCGCAUCUUGCUUCCUCGCCUCCUUCACCGACAGUGUCAAGUCAUCAUCCAGCAAACAAGUGUACUACGGUUUUGCCACCUUCAAAGGGUUGUUUUUAUUUGAUUAUAUU
rnacentral:lncRNA from 1 species